UUUUUUUUUUUUUUUUUUUUUUUUUGUUGGGGGGGCGGUGGGGGCAAAACAUGCAGCUUCUGUUUUUGGGGAGCAGAGGAAAUUAGAACCCAUGGCUUCAGAGCGGAAAUUGAGGUGGAAAAAAGAAAUCGAUUGGCUUCUAUCUGUGACGGAUAACAUUGUUGAAUUCGUCCCCUCUCAACAAGUAGCAAAGGAUGGAAAGAACAUGGAGGUGAUUUACUUUCUCGUUCUCCCCGAGGCUUUCUAGUUCAACUUAUGAUUCCAGCGUUUAAAAGGGAAAUUAUCUCUCUUCACUUCACUUCAGGUAUGUGAAUGGUUUCAAUGGAUUAGAAGCCGAGAAAUCUUUUCAUCUUUUCCAUGCUUUUAACAGAUAAUGGUCACUCAACAAAGAAAAGAUCUGCUCAUGAACAUCCCAGCAUUGCGCAAGCUUGAUGCGAUGCUCAUUGUAAGAUUCUCUCAUCUCCUCCCCCUAUUGCGCAACAGUUCAUAUUCAUUUGCAUGCUGAAAGAAUGUAGCAAUAAACAGGACUGCCUGGAUAAUUUCAAAGACGACAAUGAAUUUUGGUACGUCUCAAGCGACGCCGAUGAUUCUGAGAAAGGUGUCCAGAGGGAUGAUAAAUGGUGGCUGCCAACAGUCAAGGUUCCUCCUAGUGGCUUAUCAGAUGCAUCGCGCAAAUGGCUGCAAUAUCAAAAGGAUUGUGUCAACCAAGUGCUCAAAGCAUCCAUGGCCAUUAACGCUCAGGUCCUAUCAGAGAUGGAGAUCCCAGACAACUACAUUGAAUCUCUCCCCAAGGUACAAAUGAAGAAAUCAGAAGUCACCACGGCCUUCACAAAAUCUCUAAGUUUCCUUCAAAAAAAAGAAAAGAAAACAAGAAUCUCUAAUUAUGAUGUAAUAAUAAUAAAUAUUUGUUCACCACUCUGGUCUUUGGUAGAAUGGUAGAGCAAGCCUUGGGGACUCAACCUAUAAGAGCAUCACUUUCGAGUUUUUCGAUCCCGAACAGUUCCUUUCAACCAUGGACUUGUCAUCAGAGCAUAAAGUCCUUGACCUAAAGAACAGAAUAGAGGCAUCCAUCAUCAUUUGGAAAAGGAAGAUGCAUCAUAAAGACGGGAAGUCUUCCUGGGGUUCAGCAGUGAGCUUGGAGAAGAGGGAGCUCUUUGAAGAGAGAGCAGAAACAAUCUUACUGCUACUAAAACAGAGAUUCCCUGGACUCCCUCAAUCCUCUCUUGACAUCUGCAAAAUCCAAUAUAACAGAGUAUGAGUUUAGACCAAAUUAUUAUCUUUUAUCUAAAUGUGCCCCGAAUAAAUUUUUAACACAAACUUUUGUUCAAGGGUUCAAAAAUUGUUAGUAUUCUUUUCUAACCUGAUAUAACAUUACAGGAUGUGGGGUAUGCAAUUCUGGAGAGCUAUUCAAGGGUGCUUGAAAGCUUGGCCAACACUGUCAUGUCUCGCAUUGAAGAUGUGCUGUAUGCCGAUAGUAUUGCUCAAGAUCCAUCGCUAGCAAUAGCUAAAUGGAAGCCAUCGCCAGAUUCCUCGCCAUCACCACAACAAAGUGGCGUCUCAAGUCCCGGAGAAGAGACGGAGAAGUUGAGUUCUGCUGCAGAGACACCCACUUCAAUGACGCUGUCCGAUUUCAUGGGCUGGAACUUGGAGCAGGCAGAGUCAGUCAAGAACCUCCCCAGUGGUAAUUUAGAGGGUUACUCUAAGGACGAAAUUGACAAGCCUACGAGCAAACCAGCUAACAUUAACACCAGCAAAAAGUUCUCCUACAUUGAUAAAGUUGAGUUGAGCUGCUUGAGAAGUCCAACUGCUCGCCAUUAACAGCAGCACUAGAAUUGCCAUCCUUAAAAGAAGGUGGGGAAACAAUAGAAAGAUAGCUUGCAGGGGAUCAGUUGGACAAGAUGCUGCAAUAACAAUCUAGAAUAUGAAGCUAAUCUAUAACGUGUAAAUACUCAAAAGACCCUUCAAGGAGUUGAUCGAGUUAGCAUACCUUUGAUUGCUCUUCCUUCCUCCCAUGGACAGGGAAGUACAAGUUAUCCAUUAUAUUAAGUUUGGUCCAGUUGAAUAUUUUGCUUUUUGCCCCCAAAAAUUUUAAUAAGUACAGCAACCACGAUUUGUUUAUUGUGCAGCGUCUUCAAAGAGCAUAAGCUUUGUUAGCACUACCGAUACGUUUUCCUCUUCCUCCGAAGAUCCAACCAUCAUCCGUGCUAAUAAAACAUCUCAUCACCUACAGCUUAAAUAUUUCAAAGAUGCUAAUACGGGUUCGCGGCUAGGCAGGCACUUCAAAAUUUUAAACCAUAAACUUAAGCUCAAUGUCAAGUUUCGCGAGCGAUGGCUGUACCCUAAAAGGGGCAGUGCUGAUCUUCAAAUGAGCUUCGAGUUGCAAUAAUCUCAAAAAGAAAGCUACUUAAACUUCCGAGUCAUCAGUGGAAUUUCCAUUUCCACAUUUUAAUUUAGGUUUCUAGAGAUCCUAUUCUGAGCAUCUCAGCCGACAGAUAUGUUCAAAACGAGCAGUAAAAAGAGACUCUGCUUUACCAACCACCACCAGCCUCCUUACAAAGCCAUAAACUAUAACUAAUUAUGAGUUAAGCAUCAAAGGCCACAGAGAACAUCCAAAUUAGGCUACUAUUAGUAAGAGGAAUUCAAUUAGCAAAGACUCGUAGACAUAAAAUUAACAGACAUGGAUACGAGUCAAAAUCAAUCAAUCUUUCUUUAAGAAACCUUGCCAAGCCUUCAUUUGGAAGCCUCAUUUUAAUCAAGUCUUACAAAAUCUUAAGGAAUCUAUGCCGCAAAGUCAAAUUACUCCACUAAAGAUUCCUCAUAUCCAAUGCAUCUAGACAACGGUGGAAACAGCAGCAUGUAUGGCAUCAGCUAGAAGAGGGACUGUCUGGGAACUAAGACCUGCCAUGCUUAUUCUCCUGCAGCAUAGUAGAUGACAAACAAAAUUAAACUAGGCAACCUUUUAUUCUUGAAUAAGAACCAUAUUGUGUAAACAAGCAAAGCACAUCCUGUAGAUCUUUGAGCAAUAGCGAACCUUUACUAAUGCACCCUAACCACAGGUAAAACAAUAUCUGAGAAAAAAUCUUCUUACCCGUCAGAGGUCAUGUAAAUGUGAUAUUCUUUAGUCAUGAAAGCAACUUGCUGGGCAUUCAACCCCGUGAAAGUGAACAUCCCUAUUUGCUUGAUGAUAUGACUCCAGUCACCAGGUGUGCCUACAAAAAUAUAUGCAUUCUGUAUGAGGACCUACAAAAAUAAUCAGAAUCUAUACGAGAAGUAUAUGCAUAUUCUGAAUGAGAACCUACAAAAAUAAUCAGACUCCAUAUGAGAAGUAUAUGCAUAACGGAAACAACAGCCCAAAACUUGUAAAAGUAUAUAUCGCAAGGCCUGAGAUAGAUGUGACAAUUUCCAUGGCUCUGUUUGUCCAGAGUGAAAGGCAUCUAGCAAAUUAUCAAGCUCCCUUGAAUUAUUUAUACCUUGGGGCUUAUAGAAGCAGGAAACUAUAAGUAAAUAGAGGCAAGAUGACAUAUAAAACCCCAGCAAGGAUCUUCUAGUAAGAAAAUAUCACAAAUAAUGCAAGUAGAAAGAAAACAUAAAUGAUAAAUCAUUUGUUUAAGUACCUCUAGCUUGCAAAGCAUCAAAAAGCUUCUGGCGCAUGCUGAUAAUCCGGUCAGCCAUAGCUUUCAGCUCCACUGUCCAUUCAUCGUACAUAUGGCUGUAGGCAAGAAACAAGUAAGCUUGCAAUUACAGAAGCAAAAAUAUACGGACUUAAUGACAAUGACACUCCUUUCUAAAUCAGUUGAGAAAAAACAUACCUGUCCUUCAAUAUGGUAGCAACAAUAGAUGCACCAUGAAUGGGUGGAUUUGAAUACAUGGGUCUGAUGACCAACUUCAGCUGGCUUUCGACUCUGACUGCUACAUCUGCAGAUUUGCAGACCUGUAAAUGGAUUCCUGGUGAGAACAGAGUUGCAGUAUGCUCAUUGAUAUGGUAAAUAUCUCAACUUUCAUGAGAGACAGCAUAGUUUGACGGAAAAUGUAAACCUGUCUAUGUUGGAAUUAGUUUGGUCUUUCAGUCUAUUCAUUGCAAAUUCCAGUUCACCUCACUUUAUGUCAUGAUAUCAAUAACAGCUCCUUCAAAUGUUGUCUUAGAUGUUUCAACGAAACCAUUUUAUAUAAAGACUAGAAAACCAUCACUAAUGAUUUUAGAAAUUUUAGGUGAGGAAAUCAUCAUUUCAGAUACCAAUUAGGAAAUGAUCCGGUUCCAUAUCAGAAAUACUUACGAUGCUAAGUGCACCAACACGCUCUCCAUACAUUCCCAUGUUUUUAGCAUAACUUUGAGCUACAAGACAUUCACCACCAUCAGAAACAAACAUGCGAACUGAUUGAGCAUCUUCAUCAAGACUGCCACUGGCAAAACCCUGCAAUGUCACUAGCAUGUCCAUUAAUUAGAUGGUAUUCUUUAUUUAAUUGUGCCAGAAUAAAUUGCAUAUUAGCUGCUACCUGGUAAGCACUGUCAAAGAAAGGUAGCAAUCCUUUUGAUCUCAUCAACUGCCUGAUUUGUUCCCAUUGCUCUGGAGUUGGAUCUACACCAGUUGGGUUAUGAGCACAUGCAUGAAGAAGAACUAUUGCUCCUGAUGGGGCAGCAUUUAGGUCAUCCAGCAGUCCUGUAAAAGAAAAAGUGCCGAUAGACAAAAAAAUCCGCAUUUCUCUAGAUAUAUAAAUCACCUAAUACAGAUCAACCACAAAUAAGUUCCAAUUCAGUGAACCAAGUUCUGAAUAGGUUUGACUAGAAUCUCUGAGCUGAUUAUACGUGAAAAAACAGACCCACCGAUAGUUGUAGCUGAAAAGUCAUCCAUAUGCAUGUACUAGAAAUCUUAAGAGAGAUGGAUUACAAGUAUACCUUGGAAGUCCAGACCUCGUGUUUCGGGGCUAUAAUAGCGGUAAGUCUUCACUGACAAGCCUGCUAUGGUGAACACUUUCGGAUGAUUUCCCCAUGUUGGCUGUGGAAUAUAUAUGGUGUGCUGGCAAAAAGUGUGGACACAUAAGUACGAUCUCCAGAUAAAGGAAAUUUUGAAAACCCAAGAUACCCACCUCAUGAUAAUGCCUUGCCAAAAACUCAGCUCCAACCCUCAAUGAACCAGUACCAGACAAGCACUGCACGGUAGUUACCCUGUUCUCUUGAAUGGCAGGACUGUUUCCAAAAUCAUAAGGUUCCCUCAAAAGGGGAAAAGGACGACAAAACAAAAACUGAAUUAAACAAAAUAGAGUAACAUGCAACUAAUAGAGAGGAAAGCCUUAGUAUCUAUUUGAUCUAAAGUCUUCUCAGAUUAAACAUCUAUCUACCGUACAGAAAAUUUUUAAUAACAAAACAUAAUGAACGGACAAGCUUGUACAUCAUUGUUGACAUGUAAUAAAGAUUGCAAAUCAGAGAGAUCAAUAGUCAAGAACUUUAUAACUUCUCUAUGGAUUUAAGAAUCAAAGCAAUUUCAGCAUGUGACACACCCUGACAGAACCUCAAUACAAAGCAUUCUAAUGGGAUACUUAGAUGAUCCCAUAGGACAUUUAUAAAAGUAUCUAAUGUAGUAGACAUGUGAUAAAAUGAUAGGACAGUAUUAGCAGUACAAUAAAUGACCAUGAACAAUCGCUGGUUAGGCAACUAAUAGAUAAUGGAGCCCUGGAAAUUAUGCAGAAAGAAUUUGACACAGGGAUGUUCUAACAUGAUGAGAAAAAAUAAAAUAAAAGGAAAGGAUACUCUGAUAUCUCAAAUUAGGCACCCAGUUGAUAAAGCACAUCCUCUUGGAUUCUAUUAUUUUCGCUAUUCAUAAAUAACUUACUUAACAAGUUCAACGAUUUUACCUGUCAACACCGAAAAUGAGUUUGGCACUUAAUUUGUUAAAUUCAGCAAGCCCAACGAUGGGAAGAUACUCCUUUACACGAGACCUGCAUGUGAACAAAAUUCAUGACCUGUAUUUGUGGGUUUACAUAUUAUAAACUGCACAAUUUUAAGAGCAUGAGUCAAGAAACUUACGUAUCAUUUACAAGCAUUUGCUCUGCACGUCUCACCACAUUCAGAACAAGGGGUUUCCCUUCCUGUUUUCAUUGGCAUAAGAAUAGGUACUAAACCAACAGCAACUCUUCAAGCAUUAAAUUCAUACACACAACAAAUACAUGCACCGAUAGGUUAUACAUGCAUAAAAAAAGAAGACCCCAAAAUACUUGAUAACGCUCUAUCUGUUUUGGAAUGAAGGGUAGCUUAAAGAUAACGAGGCAAAUGAAAGGGAGAGGGGUGCGGGAAUUUUACCUCAGUUCGAUAGGCUCCAACUCCUAAAUUUAACUUCUUUGGGCUCGGAUCCUUGUUGUAAGCAACAGUGACCUGUUCCAGUCCGAAGCACAAAAAAAUACGAAGACCAAAACAGCAGUCAGAAACCAAAAUGAAUGCAGUCCAAAAUGCUAACCAAUACAAACCACUUCACUAAAUUUUACCAAAUUACUAGUGCUAGUAUAUGAGGUGAAACAGGCAUCAUAGUCUCAUUCGUUCAGGUAUAAAAGUUGAUCAAUAACGAAUCAAUCUCAUAGGGAUUUCCCUACUAUACCAGAAUAGUUAACGAGCGCGAAAAUUGAAGAUCACAAGCAAAAAUCAAAUUUAGCCCGGUGGUACUAGAACCAGAGCUCAUUUCUAACCAACCCGUUUUCAUAUUCUAUCUCCCGCGCGGACCUCCCGUCUAUAAAUUUAAAAAUUAACAAUAAUAAAAAUAAUCGUAAAUGCCAAUGAUGAUAACAAUAAUCAGAUCAGAUAUCAAAUGCAGUUAAAUACACGUAACAACAUCAUAGACAACAGAAACACACAGAAACGUGAUGUGUAGUAUCGAAAGAGUACCCCUAAAAUGGGAUCUUCAGGAGCACGAACAACGUUAGCAAAAACGGAAUCACCAUGACCAGAGGCCAUUUGUUAUCAGCGAAUAGUGACUCUUAGUUCAGUGGGAUAUUUCUGACUUUCUUCUGGUCACAGAAGGUUACCGAUGGGAUCACCAACAAAACAGAUGUACACUGCCUUUAUUAAACGGGUUGAAAAUUUUUUUGAAUGGUCUCCGAAGAAACAAUGGGCCGUAAAAAGGUGGGAAGGACGACGAUGAAACUGUGGGUUGUUUGUUCCCUUUAAGUUUAACCAAAAUUUAAAAAACGGUGGAUGGUAAUGGCGCUGUUGGAUUCGUUGUAAGGUUGAUGUCCUGGAGUGGGCUUCAAGAAAGCUUGUUUACGUUUUCUUUACUUCCUCGUGGGAGUAGCAUUUAUUUCCAGAACGCAGUCGUAUCGUCUCCACAAAAAUAUUUUUGAGGAAAAAAAAGGAAAAACUAUUUCACUAGACUUUGAUUUAUUAUGCAGAGAUCUAGUGACUCAUAAUUUGUCACAUCAUUUCAUGGAUUCAAGUAGUAGAAAUGUGGCAAAAUUUGAAUCGUUAGAUCUAUCAAAUCAUGUCUACCCAAUUUUUUACUUUAAUUGUUUAUGGAUACUUUUUUUUUAUACAUUUCAAUGUAUAAUUUUAUUUUUUUUUUAACAUUAGCAGCAUUGUCGCAUAAUAUGAAUUUCAAAUUUCAAAUUUAAAUCAUGACCAUAUGACAUUCAUUCAAAGCUACUAGUAUUAAAAAAAAAAAAAAUUACUGUCAGUACAUAAAAAAUUAAUCCAUUAUUCAUAAUUUAUACCAUUGCAAUUGUGCACGACAAAUUCAAGGCCAUGUAUACAAAAAUGCAUCAUCAUUGAUUAGCAAGGAAGCCUGGUUUACUUGGGCAAAAUUUCAUAAGUGACCCCAUUCAGCCUUGCAAUGGUUUUAAUUAUUGUUAGGCCGUCCUCGAGUUAUGUACACGAUUCCAAUUAGUCCCCUAGUGGGAACAAUUAAGAUUGAAAGAAAAUGAUACUACCCCAAUCAAAAAGUAAUAAACCGCAACUAGAAGAAAAUGAUGUCUAUUUGGAUAAAAUGUGACAAAAAUAAAAAUUGGUGGAACAGACUCUGUCCGACAGAGUGAGAAAAAUAACAUAUGGUAAAUCGGGCAAUUCAAAUAAUUUGAUCACGAAUAAGUCUCAUUUCCUUGGAUUUUGUUCAAAUUUUAUUUGAAAAAAUAACUUUUUGUGGUGUAAUGUAUGUAAAAUUAUAUUUAAAAAAAAAGUGUAAAAAAAAGGUGACUGAAAAGCUUAUUUAGGAUGCAACAGGAAGAAAAAUUUUUUUUUCCAAAAUCUUUGACCGCCCAAACAAUUAACCAAACUAACUUGAUAUUCAGUAAAAUCAACCAAAAUAGUUGAACUCAAUCGGUCAAUCUAAGUGGGUGCAUAGUGCAUUCGUUUGAUCCGGUGAUGAUUCAGUUCCUUCGAAAUAUCUCUGAAAUUCUUUAGGUCCACUCCCUCCUCCUAGUAUAGAAUAGAUUAGAAUAUAUAUUACGGUUGUCGUUUCUAAAAAAAAAAAAAAAAAAAAAUCAGUCAAUCUGUCCCUCCUAAAGGCCAAAUCGAAACAGCCAUGGCCAAAUCUCUCUCCUCUUUUCCCUCAGUUGGCCCCACAUUUGCCUGGAAGCCAACACUGACAUUGAUUGUAGAGUUUAACUGCACCCUGGCUGCCCCGUUAAAAAGUGGCAAUUCCCAAAAACCCUUUUAGCGACGGGUUAAGACUCGUCAUCAUCAAUCAUGCAAUGACAAGGCAGACAAAGCAGUAUAAUCUUUCGAGCAAGAACCACCUGUCCAUGACUUAAAGAAAUCACUAAUUACUACUACAAUAUUACAAACGGGGAGCUCUAUGUUGCAUGUAGCAGAGAAAACCAUUGGCAAGAAUUAUGCUAGUGUUCUUUUACCCCGCCGAAUGAACAAUGAUCGAAGAUCUUUAUUUUGAGCUAAUUUCCAGCUUAGCAUGCUACGUUUUAGCUUCGGAGACUCCUGCAGCAAGCCCACAAACAGCACUCAUCGUUAAAAGAAGAUUUGUUCUUGAGCAGACAAUUGUACAGUUAAAUCUCAACCACCAAGUAUGGAACGAGAUGAUGCACCUGAAAAUGAAAAUUGGGAUGCUGAUAUUUUACUGGUAACCCGUCGCGUGCUGGCAAUACUGCAAAACCACAUGCCCGUUUCGACGUGAAGAUUCAAGGAUAAGAUUGCGCUUUUUUCCAUUAGCAUUUCAGGUUUAGUCAACUUAGCAUCUUAAAAUUUGCUCAGGACACAUAAAUUUGAUUACCUGGAAUUGAAAAGCUCUUUCUUUUCUCGGAGCUCUCAUCAGAUGUCGAGUUCUCAACUAGAGAGGGCUUGCAGUUGUGCGUGUACAAGAAAAGUGGCACCUCCCCCGUCUGAAAUUCUGCAGUCCUAGCAGCUAUCUGCCUGGAUGGGGCAGAAGAGGUCGAUAUCAUUGUAAGAAAUUACGCAAUGAGGUUACAGAUAAACAAAAGACGUGAGAAUGUUACCUCGAGACAGUAGUGUUAGUCCUCUGAAGACCUGGACUUGCUAGUUAAAAUUAAAAGAACAGAACAGGACUGUCAGGAAAGAAAUCAUUAUCCCAUGGGAAGAGAAAUGGACGAAUUUGAAGCAAGAAAUGAACGGAAGAAAUUUCAUGUCUGAAAUGGUUACGCGGUAAUAUAUAGCGACAGUAAUAUCUGGGAAAGUCGGCAUUCCAACAGUGUGAUCUGAGAGCAAGCAGGUGAGAGUACUUUUCCCAUGUCCCGAUUCUCUGUUCAUCAAAAGAAUGACAUGCUUCUAGUAAAGACGUUUGCCUGAGGUUUCUCUCACCAAUGCCACAGGAGUGGGGAAGGAAACGGAAUAUUGAGGGGUAAAAGAACAGAAAAGGAAAGGUGGAAAACUGCUAAUAUUAGUGCAAAUCAUCAGUACUAACCUCUUUCAAGCUGUCAAUUCGAAGCUCGGCCUCAGAAACAGAGUUGGUAUUUAAAAGCCGACAUUCAAGAUUAGCUGAGACGCUUCCGAGAUGAUCAACCACUGUAACUACAGCCCUACUUAUGUACUCCUUUGUGUUCUCCACCACACUGCAGAAGAUUAUGUAGUAGAACAGUCGUUAACAGACGCAUCCUUUUCUUCCCUUUUAUUCAAUUUCUGAUUUGUGCUAAAAGUUUAGAUUGAAAUGUUUAAGCUUUGCACGAGCUAUGAACCUUGGUUGUUUACAAGCAACGUCAUUGUUUAUCUUAUUGACAGGUCACAUUCAAGAAAGUUGCCAAAUUUUUUUAAAAUAUUUUAAAAAUUGCCCACAUAAUGGUGUUUCAGGAGCUCUCAGAAUUGCCGGUGUAUGCCGUUUAUGUCUGCAAGUUAGAGGACUCACGUUCUCUUCUCCUUAGCAUUCGAGAAACUCGUCUCGCAAUAAUUUGCAGCACGGCGAAGAUGAGAGCACAAGUCCUUGAGUUCCUGCAAACAGGGCAAGAUAGGAGUAUUCAGAUGAACCAUGAAAAACGAGUAGAACGUUACACGCACCCGGAAUUCGAAAGAUUUCCAUACGCACAAGCAGAGACUUUUCGAACUGCGUCCCUUCAUCAGUUUCAGCUUCUUGGUUUUCGGCAGCUAAUGAUUUCGAGUCCUGCUGAUUCAUUCUCUUUGCAACAAACAAAUUGAGGUGCACAAGUAAGAGGAGCGAAAGAAGAAGAUGAUAUUCGGAACUUCUUUGUUUCUACUCGGUUUUGCAGAUUGGAGACUGGUAGGUUUCUGUGAUCUUGUGAUACAUUCUGUCGAGCACUAAACAGAUGAAAACCAAAAUCUAAUUAAGAGAGAUUCUUGUGCAUUCAUGGGCUGUGUCACUUUCAAUAAGGACAAAUAAUAGGCAAGCCCCGUGAUACUUUGUUCGCUCCUUUUCUUUCUGUCUAAAUUCUAAAAGAGCGCAUCCACUGAUGACAACUACACAGAAAAUUCAACUUCCGCCCUCUUCACUUUUCAGGUGACCAUACGAUACGGACCAUGAGAAGAAAGUGAGUGGCAAAGUCACGGUCCAACAUUAAUUUUCUGCAAAUGUUUGGGUAGGAAAGUAACAAUGGAAAAUUCAGAAUAGCCCGUGGUGCUUCAAUUGUAUGAGAUGUGAUGCAAUACCAAGUAACUGCAAGCUUCCAAAAUGAUUAGCUCGUCGUGUUUUUUGCCUUCAGAACUACUAAAAUAUGGCUCCUGAAAGGUAACUAACUAUGUAGCAAGAAGUAGCAGCAGUUUUAUGUCAUAUAAACUUCAACAGUUAAAUCCCGCAGAAAAAAUACAACUCUCACACACUAACUUCCAACUGUCAGGAAGACUUUGCAUGGAGAUAAGUUACAAAGCACAUACUGAAAUCAGCAGCGCUGCAACUAACUUCUUCCCUCCCAGUCAACAUAAUGUCCACCUUAACAUCUACAUAACAAAAGGAUUAUCUGCCUCUCUAUGCAUGUUUUUAACAGGAUUACAAAAAAUUCAUCAUUUAUGCUCUUACAUAGACGUAUGAUCUACCACCAUGAUGCCAAAUUUUCAGUUUUCCACCCGGGCCCUUCAUAGUACCUUUUGAGUUACUGAACUCAAAUUUGAAAAUCAAUUAUGCAGCCACCACAAUUCUCUGCAGCCUCUAGUUGUGGAGUGAUUGAGCGAUAAUCUGCUAACAAAGAUGACGACAGAAUAUUUUUAAGAUUCUGGUAUGUUUUUUGAGGUGCCUGUUUACUGCCAUCAUGACUGCUAUAUCCCGUCGGCUCCAGCUUAAUCUGCCUUCUCUUUUGACUGCCCACGCUUCUUUGGUUUCCCUUGCCAUGAGGAAGGUGCAACUCUGGUUCUCAGAAGCAGAAUGAAUACAUUUCAGUCAAAGCUCGGAGUCUGUGGUAAGAAGGAGUUUAUGCAAGGGGACAAAAGGAGUAAUAGAACAAAAACUAAUGAAAAAAAAAAACCUUCCUUAACAUCUUAAAACAAGCACAUUGUGGUAUGGAAAGAUAUUUCUUCAUAAUCUGCAGGGCAGUUACUCUACCACUGAGCAACAAAAUUUUGUUGACGUGAUAUACAGAUGUGCAGUGUGCAGCCACUGGUUUCCAUAAACAUUGGUAACAUGCAUUAUGCCAGGGUAAGCCUAGCACCAAACAAUUAUGAGAGGAUUCAACGAAGUAUAAGCAUUCCUGAAACUGCAACCAGAGUGAAAGUCCAGCUCAUCUACAGAAACUCUACCAGUACAAGUGCUCAAUUUCUUUGAGGCCUUAUGCCUAUAUUCAGUGUUGUAAGUCUCUCUAACAUCCAAGCAUGGUGCAUCUGUGUUGUUAUCCUGUAGAACUUUUACAAGUAAUUUGACAUGACUGCGAUUAAUCUCGCAUUUGGACAAGAAUUUGCAUUGCCAGUUUCCAAGGUGCCAUACUCAGUGAAGCUCUUUGGCAUCUAUAAAGUCGUUAUACUCUUAAAUACUAGAGAUGUUGGAAAAGUUACCAAUGUUCUAAAGAUCUCCAUCUUAACUUUAGCUUUAAGUAAUUUCCUCUUUGGUUCAUAUGAAAGUGUUCUGUUAUUUCACUUGCCAAACAGACUAUUUAUGUAACAGCUCAUGAAAAGGUAAGUCAUCAUAAUUCAAAGUACAAGAAUGAAAAAGAAGGCAUCACGUUCUCGUUUGCAAUUUGUGAUGGUUGUUCUAUCAGACUAGCUAUUACCUUUAUCAACAUUAGAAGAAUCUAGGCCUCUUUUCAGCGGGUGAGAUCUUGUAACACAUAACCAUGUUCCCUCACCAUGAGUUUCAAUUUCUGAAACAACUGGAAUAUGCCAGUGGCCUUUCUCUGACUCCUGUUGACACGGCAACAAAUUGGUAUCCAUUGUACUGCAGUCAUACUAUUAAUGUACAAUUUGUCUUUACUAAUGUUUUGCUUCAACAACAUUCUUCUCCAUAAGAGGAUUUUGCACCAAAAAGAUGAUUCGCAUAGCUUUUGGCAUCUUUGCAAAAGGAAAAAAUCGAGGAAUCAAGGAAACCUAACCUGAAUUACAACAGAACAUGGCGGCGGCAUGUGAAAUACUGGACCAGUUUCGGAAAAGCUGAAGUGUACCUUCAAUUAACAAUACAAUUCCUUAGUAGGAAAAGAACAAAUUGCAUAAUAAUACUAGACAUUGUAAAGAAACCUACAAGAAGAAAUCAAUGAUGCUCUGGCCCUUGAAAAGAAAAAAAAUGAGCUUAUCUUGUUUUAGACAUAUUAAGUUCAUGAUGGCAACAGCAUUAACAAGAAGAAAUGCUAAAGCAAUGGUCAACUCACAGAGUGAAUCGGCAAACUAACCUGGGAAAUGCAGUUCAGUUUUGUAAUAUUCUUUUAGGUCUUAAUCCAAUGAAUAAGGAAUGCUAAUUAAUUGAUCCAUCAGUCAACUUGUCUAGAGUGUAAAUUCAAUGUUUUUUCUUGCAAACUCCUCAAAGAUCAACAAUGACCACAGUUUACCAAUUCCUUCUCGGACAGACAAGUUUGGCCUAAGAACUUCAUUGGAGUUCACCAGAAAUAUGUCACCAAUGUAGAGAUGGUUUGUUGGGACAUACACACAGCAUAGUUCUUCCUCUCCAGAAUAAUUCUGGUUCAAGAAAAUCAGGCCUCAAAUGAAAUUUUCUCAAAUAAUGCCCAGACAAUUUACAACAAACACUCAGUCGUUAAUGUGUUUUUACAAAGCACAUACAAACAUUAUGCAUGUAAAAAAGUACUCAACAACUUUCCCAUUUGUAUACAUAACCUGAACAGUCAUUUAGUUGCCAGUCUGACAAGAAAACAAGCGUUGAUAUUUUAGUGGAGGAGGCGGUUCUGGUUUUAUCCAACUCAGUUCAUGAAGCUUCAGGUGAAACUAGGAUGUCAAACUAAGGGAGGGGGCAACAAAUGGGUAGAGUAGAUUCUCAAAGCGCUCAGCUUCAUAGCAGAUGAUGUGGCUAUCUAAUUGCAAAGUUGAUGCAUAACUCCUUAGUUGUGGCAGUAACAAGGUUGAAUCUUGCUUGUCAGUUUACUGUUUAGUCAAUUUAUAAAUUAUGCAUCAACAUACAUAUAGAAUAGAAUACGGGACACUUCCUGAGCCACAACCAAAAACACACACAAACAAAGCAUGCAUUGUAUGAAGCCAGGUUGCUAAUCAGUAGCAAACAGAUGAAAUCAGAAGCAUGAGACAGCAUUAUCAACAGCAGUGGAAUAAAACAAUAGUAGUAACGGCAGGAAAUCAACAAGAGAAAACAAGCUCACAACUAGCUACGAAAGCAUCAAAGAAAGUCAGCAACAGCAAAAACUUUCAUAGUUAAAAAAGAGUUUUUCUGGUGCAGAUGAUCAUAGUUGGUAAACCAUGGAUCUCCAACACAAAGUGAAAAUGCACAGUCAAGGAAUCCAAGUCUCUUCAUACCUGGAGAAUGACAGAUGAAGUGAUGAAGCCAAACGCAUAUUCACCUAUGCGUGGAUGCCGUAUGAUGGCCACUUCCUUGAAUGCCUGGGUGUUUUGAUCUGUAAAAGUGUGAACUUAGUCAUGAUCUAAUUCUUGUCAAAGUCGAGAGGAGAGGAAGCAUAAGAUUAAUAACAACACCUGGAGAUAUGGCAGCACUAAUUUGCUUGCAAGCACUGUAAAUAUGACGAACAAAGGGCAUGCGCUUGAUGAACCAUUCUCCAAGGCUCAAAACAGAUGCCCCCAACCAUGAGGACAUGAAUACUCCGACCAAGAAAAUGAAAGUGAUGGAUGUAACAAAUCCAAGGCCUAAUGAAAAAUAGGAGCAUGCAUAAGCAUCAGAGAUCCAAUAACUAUAUCAAUAUUCUCUAGACUGCCAUUACCAAAAAUUGAUCUCAGAAGAAGUAAAAAACUGAAGAUUACUGUAGGAAAGGACUGAAAUUCAAUAGCUGCGUUGUUCAUAGCCAAUCCUAGUUAAUUAAAUUUUAAGAAUAUCAGUAAAACUAUAACAUAAUCUUGCCAAGAUGCUUACCGAAAAUAUCAAUUCCAAGCUGUGCAUAGAUGGGCGAGAAAAAUCCAUCAACGAAAUGGAUAAACCACCACGUGAUAUAGAACGUAAUAGCUAUUGGCAAAAGAAUGACACUGUAAAAAAGACACAGUGAGCAACAACUACACAUCAAAAAGCAGAGUUGAACCCCAAAUGCAGGAAUGUGGAGAACUGUAACAAAUGAAGAUACCAAACUCAGUAGUAAAGACAAUCACAGAUUUCUUUGUUCGUGUACUUCAGCAAAUUCAUAACUGCUGCUAUUUUCACAUGUAAAUAUCCAAGAUCAACAUGCUUUCCAUAACAGACAAUAAAAGUAAGUGGUGUCACCUUUUGUUUCUUUUGUUUAUGUCCUGUAAUGAAAAAUCCAAACAUUCCACCCACCCAUGCCUCCCCCCCCCCCAACAAAAAAAACCACCCCUAAAAAAAAGCUCCCCUGCAUCAUACCAAAGAACGCAAGUUAAGACCAUGAACAACAAAAGAAAAACAAUUAGGGGCCGCUUGGUCUGAGAGUUUUGGCAUGGGGAAUGACGAUAAUUCCAAUACUUAGUGCUUGGUACACUGUAAUGAGCAUUGAAAUAUUGGAAUCAUGUCCAAAAAUUUGGGGAUUCAUGAUUCCUGACUAAAUUGGGAGGAAUCACUCAAAAUCCUCAAUUCAUUUCCAACAGUGAAUAAAUAAAAGAUAAAAUAUUUUGAUAAAAUACUUCCUUUCUCCCUCUCCUAGACUCCCACCAUCGAGCCUCCCCUUCGUCCCUUGGCUUCAACACUUCUCUCUCUCCCAUGGCAUCUGACAACUCCUCCCUCUUCCCUUGUUUCUGACCACUUUUCCCUCCUCCUCGGCAUCUGACAACACCCCCUCCUACUUUGUUUCCAAUUUUCUUCCUUUCCAUGGCAUCUGACAAAUCCCUCCUUUUUUCCCACUGCCCGUGACUUUCCCAUUGCCCCAGUAGACCCUUUCCUCUCCUCCCUUGCCAUCAAAUCGUCCUCCUAUCACAAUUGAUCUCUUAUGUUCUCUUCUCUUUGUGAAGGGCUCCAACUUGAUUGCAUUGUAUGGUGAUUCUAACAGUUUUCAGUAGAGGAAGAAAUUUGCCGUUUUCUUUUGGAAAUUUUUUUUGCAAAUGUCUGAAAGUUCUAGUUGCAAUUUUUGAGAAAAGGGAAAAAUGACAAACAUCCAGAUCUUUUAUUGAUUAGUCAUGAGUUUUUGUUGGUAAUUGUUAAACAAAGAACCAAAAAAGAUUUGGAUUGGUAGUUAUUCAGUGGUGGUCUGAUGGUGAGCAUGAUUAUCAACCCAGGAAAGAGAACAAUAAUUAAAAAAAUGAAAAAUUAAUUUUGAUACCAUUCCAACUAUGUUUAUACCAAGCACCAGUCUGUAGAAUGAUACCAGGGGUUCAAACCGAUACUGAUUUUUUGUGUAUUAUUCCAUCUCCAAUUCCAAUUCCAGAGCAUGAAACAAGCACCCCCUUAGUAUAUAAGACUCCUGGAUUUCCCGCUUUGGCAUACCAGGCAGAUAGAGGAAGAGCAUAUCUGCUAAUUUGGUUAACCAGAUAUACCAUUUUCCUUAAGCAACUAAAUGUGCACAGAAAAUGGGCAUGAAACAUAUGAAUCAAAAUUUGGUUGAGGGAAACUCAAACUAUGUAUAAAUAUUUGUAGAGAGCAAAAUCACACUUCACGGGCAAUAUCAGAUGUGAGACUAGCAGAUUGAAGAGGAAAACAGAAUUAGUACCAUCCUGUCAUGAAUUUCUUGGAAGCCCAGCUCCUAAUGACUUUGUAGAAGGUCUGGAGUGAGUAAAGACACCAAGAAUUUGUCAGACAAGAACUAAGACACAAUGAAUAAAAAUAAUAGACUAGAAAAGUUAAUGCCGACAGUUAACGCCUAGUACGACAGCAGGGGAAGCAUUUCCCUGAUGGUUACACGCAAAAAUGCAAUCAUAUUUAUGAGCUACUGCAGAAUUCGGAAGCACCAUGAAGAAUACAAAUAAACUCCUCUUAUCCCAACGAAUUAUAUUGACUAAUUUGGACUGAUAUCAAUUCAAUUAUACUAGGAAAGCAUGAACCGAAUGCCGAAAAGAAAUAUUGCAAAAUCAAACAAACCAGCUACUUUCAGCAUUUUCUUUUCUCCUUGCCAUCUCUCAUGAAACAAAAACCACCCGCAACCCAACAAUUUGAAAUCAUUUCUAUGCAGAACAUACCUCAAAGUAAGUAAAUCAAAUGCCAUUUCGAAAUCCCAACUUGAAACCCAUCAUUAAAGGCGGGCCUAACUUUAGUCUAUGGAAUUCAACGAGUAUUAUAUCGAUUACUCAAUGCAGACAAAGGUUCCAGAGAGCAUCAAAUCAUAAAUUAAAGAUCACCUAAACUAGAACGAACCACAUGGAAUAGCUAAAAAGUACAUAUACGGGCAACCCAUCAAUGGAUCUCAAAGAUAUCAAAGCAGUAUCCACCAAUGAAAAGAAAAGGGUUCGUCCAUAACAAAAGCAUUUUUCCGAAAACGAAAUAGAAAAUCAUACCUCCCGGCCAGAGUGAUGAUGAGAGGAGGAAGCAGAAGAAGAGGGCUUGGAAGAGGAGUCAUCGUCAGCAUCAACAGAAUCAGCGACGGGAAUUAGAAGCUCUCGAUCUCUUUCUCGACUAGUGCUCCCCAUAACCCCAGCUAUCCCGGACUUGUUGUCAUCACCCAUAUUACUUGCCCCGCACAAGAAGUGCCCCAGUUCAACUCAAACACCACCUUUCACCCAACACCUCCAAGCCCACCUCAGUCCAAGCACUCCACGACCCAGAUGACUCCGUCAAAUCCCCAAACACAGUCCAAAAAGUUCCUGCUUUACUCAAAAGAAAGAAAGAAAGAAAAAAAGAGGAAGUGCAGAAGAAGUAAGAUAGCUAGCACCAGGAAUAUUUUAUUUUAAGGCUUUUUUGUUUUUUUGGGCGGGGGUAUUACUAACUACUACUGUGGUUUGUUUUUACUUAUUACUCCCUCCGUCCCACUUUGAUAAUCCCGUUUUCUUUUUUCGUCUGUCCCAAAUUAUAAUUCACUUUCCAAUUGAAGAAUGUAAUUGUAUUUUAAUUUUUCUAAAAUGCCCUUAUUCAAUGUAAGUUGUUGUUACUAUAAACCUAUCUCAUUUAAUGAGAGUUGAUUCUUUUUUUACCAUUAAUUCAAGUUCCCAUAAAGUUGUACUCUAUUUAAUGUGAGGAUAUUUUAGAAAAAUAGCAAUUUAAAUUUACUUUUCCAACAAAGUUAACUACAUUUUGUUAAACUGUUUGAAAAAAGAAAUGGUACUGUCAAAGUGGGACGGAGGAGUAUUUGUUUUGUGGAAUAAAGGUUGGGUUUUGGGGAAAUGUUAGGUAGUGGAACAUGUGAGGACUUCAAGAAAAAUAAACACAGACCUUUUGGCCCUUGGGUGAUUAAGAUUAACAAUAAUAAUGUACUAUGUAAAACCGGAAAAAUUCAACGCGGAGGAAGGCUGGAUUGGGACUGGGAUCUUGGUCCUGACCAGUGACCUCACGGUCAUGGGGGAGUGGCAUAAUGGUUGCUGAUGCCUGAUAGACAGGGGAGGGGAGGUGGGCUUCCAUAAUUUUUGUAAGCAGUAUGCAAGGGAGUGGGUUUUGGUGAGUUGUGGCGGAUCAUUGAAUGUCAGCUUUCGCUGUGGUUUUUGGGGCUCUUAGGCAUUUUCAUCCGGACAAAUCAUCCUAUGUCAAUCCGCCGUAUAUUAGCACUUACAAAAAACAAAGAAUUAUCAUCCUACUUUGCAUCUGCGGGCGGAUGGUAAUGUAAAUACAGGAAUGACAUAGACGGACCUUAAGAAUCAAUUAUCAUCCUCAAAAUAUGCUCCUGCGGUGGUUCCGGUUUGUCUGUUUGGGAAGAAUAAGAUCUAUUGGUAGAGCUUUAGCUAGGUAAAAAGUAAAGCCCAAAAUUUAACUUGAGCUUUGCAGGAAUUAAUGACAUUUUGCCAGUUUAAAAUCCAUAGGUUUUGUUUGAAUUUGCAGCCAUUGCUGACUAUCAAUAGAUAGACGUGGAAACUGAAGUAUGUAUGGCGCUAAUGGAAGUCGCAGCCUUGUUUUGUGAUUGUGAGCUGGAUAUUGUCAAUCUUCCCUUGUGGAGUACUAGUCAAUUUCUUUCCUCUUUUUCAUUUUUUAUUUUUUUUGGACAUAGCCAAACUCUUGUUAGCCACAGUGACGAUGAUAGUGAAGCAUCAAAAGGCUAUACUACUCUUAGAGGUUUAGAACUGAUUGAACAUGGCCCAUGGGAGAUGUUAUCGGCCUGUUCUUCAAAUACGAAUUGGCCCAAUUUAUAACACCUCUUACAGUGCGAAACGCUUUAUCAAGCUUGGGCCUGGUGGUUCGUAAUAAAUAAUAAUAAUAAAAAAAGGUUCUAGUGGAGGAGAUUUGACCGCCAAAGACAGAACCGUUUGCGCCUUCUCCUCUUCAUAAUCUUUUGAGCGUUGCACUUGAGUAACUGGAAGUUGGAACUUGUAGCCUAGUAACCUACUACUGCCCUGCUACCUACCGCUUGGCUUGGUAACACUCUCUGAUCCUGCUCCGAAAAAGAUGUCGGAGCGUGACGCUCACAUUCCGGCGGAAGUAAUCUCCUACUUGCUCACCUUCCUACCGGUGAAGUCACUUCUAAGGUUCAAGUGCGUAUCAAAACCAUGGCUGGCUUUGAUAGACAGCCCAGACUUCAUAAAAAACCACAUCUCCCGCUCCCUCAAAACUAACCGUAAUCUCACCAUCAUCCUCGGUUACGCCUCAUCAAUCUACUCCGCCGACUUCGAUUCUUUUCAGGACAACGUGGCCUACCCUACCAAACUUACCCCUCCAUUAUCGCCGUCCAUCGACGCGCCUAUUCUAGUGCUGGGUUCUUGUAACGGGCUGCUGUUUCUGUCCACCACCUUAAAAGACAGCAUCAUAUGGAACCCAUCCACCAGAAAGCACCAGAAACUACCUCCAACCUCCAUUGAAUACCCAUGUGGCAGGUUUGUAUGGCAUUCUGAAACUGGGUUUGGGUAUGACUCUGUUCAUGAUGAUUAUAAGGUCGUAAGAGUCACCCAAUUUCACCUUGGUUGGGAGGAUGACUUUUUCCAGAAUGAAGUUAAGGUCUAUAGUUUGAACUCCAAUCAGUGGAGAAAGAUUCAAGAUUGUCCGUACUUUAUUCGGUAUCUAAAACUUGGCGGGACUUUUGCGGGCGAUGCAUUGCACUGGAUUGCGGGUAACAGUCCGAGAUUGGGUACCGCCAAUCAAGUCGCUGCUUUUGAUAUAAGAAGUGAGGAGUGGCAUCUGCUGCCGCUUCCUAAAACCUUGGCUGGGGAUUUUUUCAUGAAUUUGGUUGUUUUGGGAGAAUGCAUUGGUUUGUUUUGCAAUUACUAUCGCGAUCACGUCGAUUUCUGGGUUAUGAAAGAAUACGGGGUGAGGGAAUCUUGGAUCAAAAUAUGCUCUGUUGUUCAGCCUACUCAUAUUCAGUCCUUUGAGCAAGUGAAGCCAAUAGGUUACUCAAACGAUGGGAAGCAAGUCCUUUUGGAGCAAAACUCUAGCUGCCUCGUGUGGUUUGAUUUGCAGGAAAAGUCUGUGAAGAGUGUUAGGAUUCAUGGUGGGCCCAAAUAUUUUAAUACAGAUGUUUGUCUGGCAAGCCUUGUCAAACUCCCUUACAGUGAUGUUCAACAAGUCCACCAGAAGAAGAAAACCCAAGAUAGGGGGAACCCGAAAGCUGGUCCGAAGAGGUAAACCUUUAGAGCCUUCUGUCCUCCUACUCGUGAUCUUGGCUCAUUUCUAUGGACUGCGGCAGUCGUGAUUAUAGGAGUAUUUUGUUUCUGUACGAAUAAUUCUUUUUUAGGUGAUAUCGUGCAUUCUUGCAUUUCUGCUUCAUGCAUGUACUAUCGAUACAGACAAGGGAUUCCUGGAUCCGGGGUUACUUGUUCUGUAUUAGAGUAGUACUGUAAGAUUAUAGAAGUUUUCUUUCCUGGAGUGAUAAGUAGCAGCUUACAUGUUUUGAUUCCAUUUCUCUUUCUUUUCUUGAUAAAGUUUGUAUCUUUUUGUUUUUUGUUCUCUGACAGAGAUGACUUUCUGUCAAGCGGGUUCAAAUUGGUGCUUUAAGCUGAUUGAGAAGGGGGUCAAACUACGACUUUUGUGGUUUGUCAACGUGUUUCAGUGUUGGGAUAUUCUUAUGGUUUUUGCAACUUCUAUUCACUUUAAAUGCUUGCAAUUUGGACAAAACAGAAUGCAAGAUUGCAAGAACGAUAAUUAAUCUUGUUUAGUCUGUGCUAGUUAGAAUCAUGUUUGCCUUACAGUUCCUCAAUCUGUCCCUCCUAAACAAGGUCGGUUCUUUCCUCCUAUAUGCUGUGUAAACUCCAAUUUGGAGAACAUGACAACAGCACGGUAUCUCGAUUGUUUUCUGACUUCAUUGUCAUUGGCAAGUGAUCUCUUGUCAUUAUUGUGUCUUUUCAUGGUUUGGUUUUUUCAUCCUGUUGGUUUCCUGCUGAACCAUCCGAAAAAGUAUCACGGUGUUAUAUGGAUGGCUGGAUCUUCCUUUAAAUUUGUCUGGUGGAUUGGCAAGAUCCAAAUUUGUGUGCUUAGUGCUUACAAUUCCUUGAAUAGUAUAGGCUUAAAAAGUACCAAUUCCUUUGUACAAUUCUCUGUGUUCAAUUUUCUUUCUUAAAUUAUUUUUUGGAGUCAUCUGCUGGGAAAUAUUUUAGAUUCUAGGGCAACUUAUGGUGGAAUCUAGCUUAUGAUACUUAAGCGGAAGCAAUUUGAGUUUUUUUUGAGGAUAAUAAUACCUAAGUAAUAUCUCCAUUUUAGCUUAUGAUACUUAAGCAGGUCAUAUCAUCGCAUUGUCUUCUAUGUUUAAAACAUACUUCUGCCUUGAGCGGUGGCGUAUGAUCAGUAUUAGCUGAUGAUACAGUUUCUUGGUCAUGGAAAAGGAGACUGUUUUCAAAAGCAGGUUUUGAGUUUCAAGUUGUUGCUGUUCUUUCGAGAAGCCUCUUACAGUGGAACUUAGUUGACCUCGAACGAAUAAAGUUUGGCACUAUCUACUUCGCAAAUUGUUGUUGUCACUUAUAAGGUGCAGAAACCCUCCUGUUAAAGUUCCCUAAUCUCUAAAGCAAAUUGUGUGCAUCACUAGGAUAAGUGCUCUGCUACAUUUUUAACCUUGCCUAGCAUAUAAAUCUAAAUUAGUUGUAUCGUUAGCAAAUGCCCGAUGACAGAAACCCUUAAAAGAAACCAAAUUUCUUUGUUCUCUUUUUGACUUGCUUUGUCAAGGGUGUUUAUGGCUAUCAUCUUUAAUCAUGGCCUUAUACCAACUGUCUUUGGCGCAUUUCUGAUGACAGCCUUUGCAGAUGGCAGGACUGACGGUUCAUUGGUGCCUGUGAUUAUUCCCAACCAAUGUGAGGAGAAGAGGUGGAGAUGGGGAAUGUUGCUCGAUGUUUUUGUCCUGAAAGUCUUGCUCCAACUCAAAAGAAAGGGGUUUUAGGUGGAGGGGGGGGGGGGGCAAUAUUUGCCGGUAUGAACUCUUUAUCGUGGUUUUAGGUGGUUGGGGUUUUGUAUAUAAACUUGCUUUCGCUACGAUUAUGAUUGUGUUUAUAAUAUGGCAGUAGUUUCUUUCUUAGAAAUAAUUGGUGUAGAAGCGUAACGGAUCUUCUGUCCCGUAUCCUGUGUCACUCUCUGUCCCAUUUUUUAUUAUAUUGCUAUUUCUCUUUCAUAAAUAUCAUGUUUUAGUUCUUUAUUUUAUUUUCUUAAGAUCCAAUAACUAUUAAUUCAGUAUAAAAAAUGAGAUUUUUUAUGAAUUUUUUGUUGUAUUUUUUAAUUUUCUAUUAAAUAUUGUUUUUUUGAAGCUGUUGUAUUUAUUUUUUAUUGAAUUAAUAGUUAUUGGAUUUUAAGGAAACAAAAAAGAACUAAAACAUAAUGUUUAUGAAAGAGAAAUAGCAAUAUAAUAAAAAGUGGGGCAGAGAGUGACACAGAGUGUGGGAGAAGUGGAAGCGAGAGAUAUCAGGCAGCUACCAUACCACGACUCGUGCAAAUGUUUAUCUGCUGACCAGCCAUUCGUCUAUACAAACCAGAUUGGCAACUAUAUCUUGGAUGGUUUUGGGAGAAUUGGAGGAGGGAGAGGGGUAGGGAUGUGAUCGAACCAAGUCAAGGUCGAGUAUUGCUAUACUUGAGCUUGACUCGACUCAUAUAUACCUAGGUUCGAGCUCGAUUCGAGUUCGACCGAGUACAAAAAAUCGAUACUCGAAACUUGACUCGAGGAACUCACUUUAAACUCGAGACUCGACUCGAUAAGGCUCGAUCUUUAGUCAAGCCUUAUCAAGUCGAGCCUAAUCAAGUUUUUUGACACACUUUCGUCUUUUCUUCUCUUUUUGAGAUAUUUUUUCUUUUUAGGUCUUUUUACAAUUAUGUUAUUACUUUUUUGCCAUUAUGAAAUUUUAUUAUAAAGAAGAGUUUAUUGUAAAUUCCGUAAAAGUUAUAUCUAUAAUGGUCAUUUUAUAAUUAUAAUACAUAUAUAUUAUUUAAAUACCCCCGGCUCGACAAGUCUCGAGACUCAAAAUAUUGACUCGAAACUCGACUCGAAUGACAAUCGAGUAGCUUGAGACUCGGCUCGAACUCGGUCAACUCGAGUUCAAGCCAAGCCGUUGACUCGAUUAUGACUCGGCUCGCGUACAUUCCUAGCGGGGGAUUGGUUUUGAAAAGAAAAAGGAGAAAAUUAUUAAGUGAUAAUCAGUGCUGUUGAGUAGUACUUCUACUAUCAAAUCCGGUUCUGUUAUCCAAGCCAAUUUCAGUUUUUUCGAUUUAAUAGUUGAGAAUAGUUUUAGAACCCAAUUAUUAAAAGGAAAAUUGACAACUGAAAAAUAUAAUUGUUCAGUCGGUUUUUCUGGUUAAUCAAACCGAGGUUUGAUACUCAUUUUCUUCUUGAUACUCGUAAGCAGUUAGCGCUUGUUUGGCCAGAAGGAGUUUGCGCUUCGUGAAACAAAUUAAGAUGAGCUCUACCAGGAAAAAGGUCCUAGAUUUCAGACAAGUUUACAAUAUACUAUCAGUAUUUAUUUCACAAUUUCUGGGUUGGUUGUAAUAUGAUCUAACAAUUAGUAUUUGUCCUUGGUCGUAAUUUUAUUAAAAAUUACAAUACGUUAGUAUUUGUCCUAAUUCAAUAGAUUUAUGAGAUCCAAUCUAACUAUAUAUAUAUAUAUAUAUAUGACAACGAAGCAGGUUGCUUGUAAUUGUAUCGAAAAACAAAAAACAAAACUUUUCCUGUUAUCUUCUUUCUUUUUUAAGAGGUACAAUCCCCAUUAAAAUGUUAAUAACUAUUCCUAGGAAUUUAAUUGCUAAUGCAUAUUAGAUGAAUUCAUAAUUAUUUUUAAUAGUUCAAAGUUUAUUACUUGUCUACAGCCUCCAAAGUGAAUAAAAGUUCUUCUCUAUUUAUUAUCGAUUGUCUACUUUGAGGAAAUUCUUAACAUAUUUGGAAACUUCUUAAAUAGUCAUAAUAACAAAAAAAAAAAAUUUCUUUCCAUGUGUAUGAUGAAAUGCCAUAUACAUAAUAUACAUGUGUAUGAUGAAAAGCUUUGGAGAUCUAUUGCAUUAAUUCAUCAUCAAGUAUUUUUCUAACGGGUGCCCAUUUUGUUAACACACAUAAAAUUCAUCUAACAUUCUAAUAAUUAUUACCCUCCUUUGUAUCUAUAUACUUUUCUUGGUUAAUCUUACCUACCCUCCAUUGUAUUUAUUUAAUGUUCCUAAUUAAUCCUACAUUUUCAAGAAUAUAUCAUAAUGAGUGCCCAACGGGCACCGCUAGACAAACCCACUCAUGAAAUUUCACUCUUCGAAUGCACAAUAAUAACUCUUCCAAAUGUCGACUAUUAACUAACGUUGAUGUUAAAUUAUCAUCAUUAUCUUAAAAUACUUGCUAGUGUGUCAAACUGUCUAAAUUUUCCCAAACUUUUUGAAAUAUAUAAAGUCAAUAGCUCAUCAUUUAUGUUUAUUGCAUGUAACAACAAAUAUAAGAAUGUGAAUCAUAGUCUUAAAUGCUUAACUAUUUUAAAGUUAACUUAUAAAUGCAUGCACAAGAAUAGUACUUUGAGUAACUAACCAUGAAUAGAAGUUGCUCUAAUAUAGGAAUAAGAAUAGAAAUCUCAAAUACAUAACCAUGUCAAAAAUUAUACUCAAUAUAUGAACACGAAUCAUGAAUUCGAGUAAAUAGUCGUACGAAACUUACCUUAAUAUAAAACGUGAAUCGUAAUCUCAAAACAUUGACAUUAACAAAUAUCAAAGAAUAAAAAAAAUAAUAAUGAUUUUCCUAAAUCGACAACACUUACUAUAAACAGUAACCGCCUAUAAAAAGUACCGUCGCUCUAGUAAAAUACACACACGACCACCAUAUAGCAUUUCCGUCAACUUCCUAAUGGCGACACCCAAUGAUGCAAAUGAAUCGAAGCAAGUUCCUAGCUCCAUGUCUGGUCCAGAUCCAGGGCUCGCAGAAGAGUUGAAGAAUGAUAACAUCUUCAUGGAGAAGCAAAAUGAAAUUAGUGUUGAAGAACAACUUGCUUAUGCUAUUGCUAAUGGAAUAGACAUCGACUGGUUCCUAACUAACAUGGCAAAAGAAGAAGAAGAAAGGAACAAAGAGUUUAAGCAGACCGUCGCCAGCAGCUCCGAGGGGAAAAAUGUGAGGCCACGCAAAGUGGAAAGCAAACCUUCUGAAGAUAAUGGCCAGCAAAUUCAUGAUCGCUCCAUGUAGAACAGGCUCAAAAAAUUCCUGCCUGAGGUCGCAAUAUAUGCUACAAUAAAUAUGUUGUAAUAAGAUUUCAUUAGUUGAAGGUGCAAUAAUAUAUUGUCGUCAGUUAAUUUCCCCUUUAAUUUUGGAUACAAUAUGAUUCAGUGUUAUUAUAUUGGUUUCUAGAAACUCCCAAACUCUUUUUACGUUUUAUGUGUAAAAUAACAAUUUCAGUCUUUUAAUUAAGAAUAUCGGUUGCAUUUAACGAUUUUGCACUAGAAACGAAUUCACUUGAAGAUAUAUAUUUGCCCAAGCAUUAAUCAAAUAGCACUAUAUUAAUUGUUUCCUCGAUAACUUCGUUUAGGUCAAGAAACUUAAAAAUGGGAUUCUUUAUUGGACCAUUAUAGAAAUGAAAUCUUGUAGAUGUUAAAAAUUGCAAAAUAUAGCCCUUUAUUUGAUUUUUGCUUUCACAGAUUUUUCAGCUCAUAGCCUACUAUUAGAAUAAUGACGGGUCCGGCCAAUUGGAAUAACAUAUUGAAAGACCCGGUUUAUCAAGGACGUUAAUUGCGAGACUCUCAACUAGUAUUCUUCCUCCUUUUUUUUUUUUUUUUAGCAAUUUAGUACACCUAAAUUAAAUUAAUUUAUCAAGUGAAUGGAUAUAUUCACUUUUAUUGCAUCUCUUUAAAUUUAGACACUUUUUUUUUAGAUUAACUACACUCUUGCAAAAAAAUAAAUACUCUUAACCAAACCCUUCUUUUUUAAUCUUUUCUUCGAUUUGGAGAAGUAUCGAUUCCUCUCUACUUUUAACAAAAACGAUGGUUAAAAAAGGUGUUUUAUGAAUAAUAAGAAAGUUUUUUUUCCCUAAAUUAUCGUGUCCAAUCGUGCCCAAUUGGCCUUUGUGGGCAUAUUUUCCAAUUUAGAGGACCCUAAAUAAUUUAGACCAUAACCUAUAUUAGGUACGUAAUCUUCGUUAAUUAUUAGUAAUUAUUGCACUAUAUAUUUUGUUCUGAGCAGCCAUUUCACUUAUGGCAGGUAAGUAAUUUUUUAAUAUACAUGAACUUGACCUGUGGCUGUGAAGAAAAUGCAUGUAGUCAACAAGUUCUCCAGUAUAUCAAGUUCACUACAAAGAAUAAAAGACUUACAGGGUAUACAACGAUUACAAUUAAUUAAUUCAUUGUGUGAAACGUAUAAAGGAAGUUUAUGAAAUUGGUAAACAAGUAUUAGAUAAGUUCAAAUUCCCAAAUUGCCAUACCAUAUUCUUACCCCUCGUUGGUACGUAGGAAUGGUUUGGAAAGGAAAGAUCUUUUCAACUUGUUCAAUUCAUUCCAACAUUUGGUAUCGUUCUCAUUCCAACUUUUUUUUAGAAUCUCAUUUCUCAAAAAAAAAAAAAAGAAAAAAAGAAAAAAGGAAAAGCUCUUUCGACCUUUAUCCUAAAAUAUCUAAAUAAUAGGAUGUUCAAAUUUAUCCUUAAAAAUUUUUACACUAUGUUGUGAUAUCUUAGGCUAUUUGUGAGUUCAAUUAAUAUUUGAAUGUAAACUUUCAUAAAUAUUAAUUUUUCUUGUAUUUUAAAUAAAAAUUUUCUUUUAUACUAGGAAACAAACGUUUUAAUAUACUUUAUUCUUUGACUUUUUGAACAAUUGUGCAAGAAUUCCUUUUUGAAUCUUUUCGAAAUUGAAAAUAAAUUAUAAUUGUCUGACUUCACGUAAUUUAUAUUCUAUGCUGCUAAUUAUAUUGCUAGUAAAUGAAAAUGAAAAAUUUUAACUUAAAAAUCUAUUUAUGAAAAUGAAUCAAGUAUUACAAUUGAAGAAAUUUGAUAUCAAUCCUUAUUUAUUUUUGAAGUAAAAAUAUCAAAAUUUUACAUAAAUAGACAAAUACUAUUACAGAACAAAUAAAAAAAGUAAUAAGACAUAUUACAUAAAAUAAAGUAAUCCAGAGCAAUUAAGUCAAAUUUGUAUUUAGUAUAUUCCAUUCUGACAUUUAAAUAUUAAUUACACCAAAUAUUGUAAACUAAAUAAACAUUUCAUUCUGACUUGUCUAUCAAACCCUGGAAUAAUAAAUUUUUUCUCGCCAUCCUGGGUGGAAAAACCUUUCCAUUUUGGGCAUUUCUGCGUAACAAACAAGGAGUUGUAGUUUUGAACAGAAAAGAAUCAAAAUGAUGGCAGUUUAAUACAAAUCAUUUCCCUAGCUAAAACUUGUUUGGAUUGAGCAUUAUUUACCUAGUUUUAUUUGCUUACAUCAUCAUUACAAUUUCCAAUACAUCUUUUUAUUUUUCCAAUUACCUUUUUAUCUCACAUACAUCACAUCACAAAAAGUGCUACAGUAAAAAUAUUCCAAAUAAUCCCAAAUAACUUACAAUCCAAACAAUCCUAAUUGAUGCACAAGAAUCUCAUUUAGCAGGCAUUUGAAUUCUUGAGAGUACGAUUCUCGCAGAGUGAAUCUAUGUUAAAUUAGAAUAGACAGUGAUAAUGGAAACCCCAAUAAUUUUUAUGAACCCAGAACCUCUCAUUUACAUUUUACACUUUCUCAAACUUAUCAUUCGAAUACACAAGAUACAUACAUACUUCUCUCUCUCUCUCUGGUUUUGAAAAGACAUAUGAUGCAUACUUGAUGUUUUGCAUGGACACAAUGAAAACUAGUUCUAGCAUCCCAAACAUACGGGGAAAUUUUCAAAUCUUCCCCAUGGAAGUUAAAAAAUAAAAGAAAGGAAGAAUUUGGAAAGGAAGUGAAGUCAACAAAAAUCUUGUAAGGUACGGUACAAUGGUUUGAAAAUCGGAUCAAACUAGUUAGUUUUGCCGGUCGAAUCAUGAAUUGGCCAUGUCUUUGAUCCGAUUCAAUGAUUAACUCAAAAAUUCAAUUGCAUCGAUCAAACUUGAUCAAGAAUUGAUGGUAAAAAUUGGAAGGUUCAACUAGUUUUUACUAAUUUUUUUAUUUUCUAAGACAAAUAUUUCCGUCUUAUUUGAAUUUUUUAUACUAAAAUAAAUAAAUAAAUGAUUAAAAUUUUGAACUAGAGUUGAACCGAUCGAACCACAAAUUAGAAGCUCUUUCAAUUCACUCUUCGACCUAGAUUUAAAUACAUUGGUAGGCUACAAGGUGACAGAUGGUGGUAGAUUUAAAUAUAGCUCCGUUUGGAUUAGCUAUUUUUUAGGGUGUUUUUGAAAAACUUUACUGUAGCAGAGUUUUUAGAGUAUAUUUUGAAAUAUUUUUAGAAAAUAUUUUAGAAUAUUUAAGAGUAGAAGAGUUUCUAGAACAUAUUUUGAGAUAUUUUUUUAAAUUUUAAAAAAAUUUAAACUAAUUUUUAGAUUACCUUUUAGAGUACUUUUAAAAAUCUUUAUUAUAUUUGAAAAAAUAGUUUUUGAAAAACACUCCACAUAUUUUCAUUCUACUCUUUUUUUUUUUUGGUGCAUAAUUACAAGGUUAUUGUACAAAACUUUCCAUUUUGUACACCCGUCCAACAUGGAAAUGGAAUAUUAUGAUGAAAACUUCUCCUUCUUGUUUUUGUUCACUAGAAUGGUAGUUACCGGAGCAACAAAUAGUCAAUUAUAUCUGUCUCAAAGACAUGGGAUGAUUCAUGAUUGUACCGAAAAAAGGGGUAUGGGAUGAUCACCUUAAAUCGACGUCCAACUACCAAGGCAUAUAUUUCUUAGAAGGAACAAAAAUCACGUGCUCUAAGAAUACCAUGAUGAUAAACUCCAAAAUGGUUUCUUCAUUGAUGAAAGGAAUGAAAUAAUUGUGACUUAAUACUAUCAUGGAGGCUUUGGAAGCUCUCUAUUUAGAGAGGGAAUGAAAAGAUUGCACAUCAUCUUUUCAUCCAAUGGAGGACAAGAUGUUAGCAGCAAACAUUUAUCAUUUGAUUCUAGCACCAAAACUAUGUGGUGAUCAUAAAAGCAGCGGUGCCUCUUUUUGGUGUCAUUUUAACUUGCAAUUGCAAUCAAACUAUAUCGGCUGCCCUACAUUUGUAAGGAAGGUCCAUUCUCGAAAGAAAAGAACAAAAUAGCAUACAAAGGUUGUACGUGCCAAACUGGAACUUUUCCCAGGCCAUACAAAGAUACUGGUCCUUCACGACUGUAAAGUGUGGAUGAGAGGAAGACUGAGUCAAAAUACUUGUGACAGAUGGGGAGAAGUUUCCUGUCUGAACCCGUCCGCUAUUAUUGGAUUCUAAUACUAGUACACGACCCUUUUCUUUUGAGCCCGAAAAGUGCUAUUGCUAUGGAUUAGGGAACCAUUUCUGGGGUUCUGUCUGAACGGUAAGCUACUCAUACAUUAUACUGAGGAGGAAAGGAAGAGGAGAGAAAAUGUUGGAAGGCAAAGCUCAGAUCAAGGAAACAGAUAUGCCAAGAAAGAUGCAGAUUCAAGCAAUGACUUCUGCUUCUGAAGCUCUUGAUAUUUAUGAUGUUACUGAUUGUACCUCCAUAGCAGCCCACAUAAAAAAGGUACGCUGAUACUAAUCUGCUACGCCAUCCAAUUUUCUGAUGCAAACAAAUCUAAUCAAUCAGUACAUUUAUGAACUGAUGUAAUAUGUCUAUGUGCUCAUUUGACGAAGCUUGCGUGCAUCUAAAUGGGCUAUGUGUUUCAUAUUGGCAGGAGUUUGACAAGAUGUAUGGGGGUGGAUGGCAAUGUGUGGUUGGCUCUAAUUUUGGUUGCUUCUUUACUCAUUCAAAAGGAACUUUUGCUUAUUUUGCUUUAGAGACCCUCAAUUUUCUUAUCUUUAAGGGAGCUUCCUCUUAAAUCUUGUAGUUGUAUAUGAUAGAAAGAGAGGACUUUUCACCUAAUGAUAUUGGAAUAUGAAUAUGCGUCGGCUGUGAUAGCAAAUGCUAAUAUGUUAUUCAAUGGCCCUGUCACCGGAUGAACCAGAGGAAGUUCAAAUUGAUCCAAAUGUAACUUUCCUUGCUGGUGGGUGAAAUUAUCACUUGUUGACUAUGGAUAUGGAGCACCGCGUCCAUGUGUUUCUCUUUUUAAAACCGCAUGAUACAGAUUGAACCCAAAUGUAAUGUUUGGAAUAGGUUCUCAACCAUUCCAGCUGUGGCAAUUGUAGUCUGAACCGUCAUUAAAUGCUAUCCUUGGCUUUGUAUUGUAUGACAAACUAGUCAAAACACCGAAGUGCGCCAGGCAAUGCAAGUUGGUGAUAUUGGCUAUUUGCUUUCUCUAAGUUCUGGUUGAGGCUAUUCCUUUGGGCCUGUAGCUACUUCAGCAUACUAUACGGUUAAAAAUUUCUUCAACUUUAGCUGUCUGAGGACUGGGAAAGCCUAAAUCUAUAGUGCACAAGGAAAUCAAUUUUAGUUUACCUGUCGAAGGCUCUCAGAAUUUUACAAAUGCGAAACGCUUGCCCGAGAGUUUGGAAAGAAAAGGUUCAUGUCAGAAAGUCAAUUUUUCAUGUACUCUUUUUAACGGUAGGAUGACACUUUCCGCAGAUGUAGAGCAAGAGCAGUCUGCAUCUGUAUAUCAAGCUUAACACUGCACAACAGAGUAAUCUUUUAGGAAUUACAUACCAAAAAGUGCAUUACCAUUCAGCAAUUAAAAACAUGUUGUCAUCAUGAAAUGGUUAGCGUUUGCCAUCCUCAGCAGAAAGAAUGGUCAUCUACAAGAUGCAUUUUGCACUGAACUAUGACUCUAGCAACAUAUUGGUAUAUAAUAAUUCGAGAAUUAUCGAGGCCCUGGACAACAUAUUUUCCAGUCCUACCAGUUAGUGUAGUAUUAUGCACAGCAAAGAACUCGAUUCCCUAACUCCGUUACUGAAUUUUGUACAAAGUACUAGAUUACCAUAUCCAUCAGCAUAUCAUCAAUGAUUCCAGUCAAAAUUUUCUGUUCUAUGUCAAUGACAACUUGAUCAAUUUCAUCCAGAGUAAAUCCAUUCCUCCAACCGAAGUCCCAACCUCCAUUCACCACUCCCUUGCACCACAUAUCUUUUUGGAGCACUGUAGAAAGAGCAUCUACAACAAUUGUCUUACCAGCAAGCUUACAGUAGCUUCUCAAAUACUGUAUUCCAUCAGAAAUCUCAUUGACUAAGUGAUCAAGGGAGAUGCAGAUUUUUGACUUCUUAAUGCAUAUAUGUGGCAAUGGAUGACCUGCAACUCUAUAUUGAAGGCUUUUCUGUUCCAGUAACUCUUUUGCACAUUCAAGUAACAGUUUGGUGUCAGCUGUUCCAUGGGAAUGUAAGCCAGGUUUGUGUGACACUGCAGCUUGAUAUGCACGAGUCUCAAAUAGCUCCUCAGCAUGACAAAGAAAUGAUGAACUAUCCAGAAGUAGUUUUCUUGUGUUGUUAUCCCUUUUACAGCUCUUCACCUCAGUUAGAUUGCAAUUGAUGCCGCAUUUAGCAUUAUCCAUGGAUCUGAUUCCGUUGUUGGGCUGGACAGAAUAGGUAGAUUCACAAGGAAAAGUUCUGUUGUUACUGCAAUUAUCUGCCAUAAAAUGGUCUUAUGUUAACAAAUGGCAAUGUGGAUGUAUCUCAAUGCAUCUUGAGUAGCAACUACCAGUAAGACAGCAGCUGUAGCCUUCUGUGAAAAACAGGCCUAACUCCUAAGAAAACAACCUUCACAGCAUGUUUGACCAACCUCUCUAAUUACCCAGGGAAAAAAAAGGGAUAGACAUAAAAACACAGGAUGUCAUCCUUUUAGAUGCACGUGGAUAGACAUGUAUAAUCACAGAGUAUCAUCGUUUAACAUGCAUGUGUGACUAAUUUCAUGCAGAUUUUUUACAAAAGAUGUACUUAUUUUCGUAGAUAUUUUUUUUUGUAUAUUGGUUCAGGAAAGGCAACAGAGAAAAAAGGCCUAUGCUCUUAAGACUGUUGCUUGUUAAGCAGAUGAAAAUUAUCAGGUUGGGCAAGCUUGAACUUCUACUUUAAUUUAUGUAAUUAUUACUGAAUUAUUUUAGCCUCUAACUUAUUGUUUUUUCGAUAAACAUGUAAUCUGUGUAAUAUUUGCCGUUUAUUCCGUUUCAUUCUUCUUAAAAAAAAAUGUAAAUGAGAAAAGUAAGAGGAAAAAUGCAUAUGUACACAAGGUUGAGCCUACAAGACUUAUUUCUUACUUUUUUCUUGUAGGGGUGAGUGUCUGGCAGGAGGUAGUGGGAAGUGAAAGUAAAAACUUGUCUUUUGGUAGCAACAGACAAGCACUUUUACUGCCUGCACAUAUUGUCUUUUCAACUCGGCAAAAACUUAUAACAGGUUAUUUUUGCGUUAACAUAUUCAGAUGCAUCUACAUUAUAAGUUUAAUAAAUAAAAAGGAUCUACAGUUGACUACUAAUUAGUUAAAGCAAAACGAGUCUUAAUGCUUUGUACUGGUUAAAUACAGGGUAUAUCGAGAAGAAUACUCAAAGAUGACAGUAGUUACAUGAAUGACUGUCUACUAGAGCUUACUUACAAGUCACAAUGCAGUUUGAAGGGGGGAAAAGAGCUAAUUACCAUCUGAAGUUCUUUUCCGAUGCACAUAUGCAAAAAUUUAAGUCCAGUUCAUAGUCCCUUCUCCCUUCCCUAUGCUGAAUGAAACAUAAUUCAAUAAUAUCUUACCUAAGUUUGUAGGAGUAUCUUUCUUUUCAUCACCAGGGAGUUGUUCUGAAGAGGUGAUCCCUUUUGCAGUCAAAGCUUCAUCGUUCCCAACUUCAGGGUCGGCUGGAACAUCAUCAUUCUUGUGUUUUUUUUCAACCUGCAUUAUCAUAUUCUAUUUAUGUUUGCAUAUUAAAAGCAGAAAGUUAAUGUUUAAAAUUAAGCUCCAGUCAAAGGCACAAUUCAGGAACAAAAUGCCCACCGUUUAAACCUGAAGGAACUAAAUUGGAAUAUGAGACAUGCAAUGCAAUCACUUACAACAAUUGUUGAAGGUUCACUGGCUCUUUUCUCAUUUUUGGCAUUCUUCUUUCGAGCACUCGAGUUCAAUAAUGUAGUCGGAGUAAUGCAGUCUGAUAUGGGAUCCCAUGUUGAACCUUUUUGUGCUGACACUCGAACUUUUGUAACAUUUGGUUCUCUCUCAGGUUUUCUGGGAUUUGUAGAUGCUUGUUUGUUGAUGUGGUGAGAUUUAGCUCUAUCUCUUAACUUUUCAGUAUCAACUUCCACUUGCUUCCUUGUAUUCACAACAGCUCUUUGAAUUUUGGGAACAACUUUGUUCUCAUUUGCAUCUUUCUUCUGUAGUUUGGGCUUCCCAGGAGUAGAAGCUUUUACUGUUGUAGAAGACAGGUUGUCCUGACGUUUAACUGAUUUAGUAUCUUUUCUAGCAAAAGCAUCCAGACAGUCCUUAUCUUCUUUUUCUUGAAUAGGCCCUUUUGCUGGAGCUUUUUCCACUUGCAGUUUUCUGUGAAUCUCAGUGGAGUUUAGAGCUCCUUCAUGACUAUUAUUAGGUCUUGGAGGAAGCCCUGCUUUAGUUUUCCAUUUCCUGAGCAUCUUUUUGGUGUCUAAAUCUUGAUGGAUAUACUUCUGCCCGAGAAGCUCUUCGUCCAGCAAACCAGAAACAUGCAAUGGCUUUAUAAUCACAAUGGGUGCGGCAUCAUAAGCAAACCUUUUCUUCCAUUCAGAAGCAUUUGAAAGAUGUUCAGGCCCAUCAACAGACUUACCUGUCAUAAGUCCUUUAUAUUGCGUGUCAUCAGUUAGUUUAUUCAACUUCAUUGGCCGUGGAUCCACCUUCUGAACCGUAAAACGAGUCCUCGUACUUGCCAUUGGCAAAUCAAUAUCGAAUGGCGUUCUUUCCUGAUUUAGUGCCUUGUCCUUCCCAUAAUGCUUCUGAGGAUUGGAUAGUAAUGGUUUUGGAGGGAUUGCUUCUAGACCCAUCAGUUUGGCAAUUACAUUAGGAGCCUUGGGCUUCUCCUCUAUAGAUUUUGAUAGCGAGAGGUCUGAAGAAGUGUCAAAUUCAUGGGAGUGAAACAUUGAGGAUUGGCUUGAGCUGGUGGAUGGAACAUCCAGUGAGAAGUCUGACUUUGUUCUAUAAAAAUAAGGCUUUUCUUCUGAAUAAACCUUAUCUUCCUCGGAAGUCUUUGCUGCAGAAUAUGCCUUUUCCUCAUUGGAAACCUUUGGCAACAGAUUUUGCCUGGCAAAGCUCUCUCUUAUCACUUCUCUAAGCUCCUCGAAACAAUCUCUGGUGGAUCCAUCAACAGAAAGUCUUGGAUUUUGAAACUCCAACAUUUUGCGGUCGUGAUAUCCAAAUCGCUCAGACACAGUCCUUUCAAUGCCAAUUCCUUCAUGGUUUCCACCUCGGGCCCUUUCCUUCUGCUUUUUCUUCAACUUAGCCAUAAUUUGUGAAGCUUCUUGAAGCUUCCCCAGCAUUGUGAGAGACUCCUUUAGAUCAAGAGCUCCCCUCAACAAUUCUUCUGCAAUGUCUUUGGUCUGCCUAUCAAAACCUUUUUCCUCAGGCCAAGAGUCUGUAACUUGAUUUAUUUUUUGUGCUCCUCUAGAUAUUUCCAUGAGCUGGUAUGAAGAAGGAUUAUGUAGCUGAUGAUCUGUCGGCCCUUUUGAGACUCUGUCUUUCCUUUCUUCCUUGAAUGAAAAAGACGUACUCAAAUUCUUUUGGUUCUUCUGAUGUUUUACCUUCUCCUUCGACUUGAGAGAGUCAGUCUUGGAUUUUCUAUUCGUCUUACAUUCCACAACCCCUUUUGGAUCAUCACAAGAGAAGAACGAUCGGUAUACAACCGACUUUGGACCGUCUUGAGGCAUAUUCUAUCACAUAAAAUUUCAUAGAAAAAGUCAGAUACUGCUUAAUCUCUAGAAAACAAAACAAGCUUAAAUUUGACUAGAGUUUGCCAAGCAAAAGCUUGCGUCUGCCUAAUGCUGGUUUCGAAAGUCAGUCCAUAGUUUACAACUGUUCCUCUGCUAGCUAGCUUAAUGUCACAAAAAGCACCGGCACAAAUAUUCCAAUAUAUUGCCGUCUAGAACAAUUAUGUGAUUGUCAUACAAAAAAUAUACACUUAAAAAAAUGUAUCUUCUUUGGACAUUUUCAAAUAGAAGCUAUUGGUCAUCUUCAUUCCUUAAUUUCAAUUCCCUACAACUUAUCAGGCAAAAGCUGUUAAAACGUGUUUCUUUGCGUGUGUUUGUGAGACAGAGAGAGAGAGAGGAGGAGAAUUUUGGAGGCAAUGCAGAUCUGAAAUUGAAAAUUAAUCUAGAUCACAGACAAAUUCAGCAGGUUAAACAUAGCAGAAGCGGCUAAAACACACAGAUCAUCACCCCUCCACACACACACACACCCCCCCCCCCCUUCUCUCUCCCAAAAAAAAAAAAAUAACAAGAAGUCUGUCUUUACUUGCAUACCUGCGCUCUUUGAGUUUGUUUUCUUCCCUCCAAAAAAUGCUUUCUCUGUCCCUUUUGAUCAACCCAAUUUCCUGUCCUUUAGCUUCAUUCGAAAACCCAGAUGAACAGCGCGUUAAUGCCCCCAAAAAUCAUUGAAAAGAUGAAAUCUUGGGGCUAAAAAGAGAGCCUAAAAGAGACCCAAUGGCAAAAUUGAAGUAAAGACUAAAACACGUUCAAGAAUUAACGCAAUGAUGAUCACUGACAAUUGAUUGAUCAAGACCCCUCAACUGUUAAGAGUUAAUUCUCACCAGCAUCUGCAUGUGUUCUGGUGCUUUGCCCAUUGGUGACGAAGAGCCCUCAGAUCUACGCAACUGAGAGGAACCAAAACAUUUAAGCUAGCUGGUAAAUCUUGAGCUUGACUUUGUGCCGUGUACCCACAGCAAUAUCUCUAUCAGUCAAUAUCAAUAUCCGUAUGUCUUUUUAACGAGAAAGUGCAAGAACUAUUUGUUCUGAUUUAAUUGCAAUGGAUUAUUGGUUGGCAAAAUGAUGGUUUUGUCGUGUGCAAGCUGAAGAAGGAUACUAAAAGAAGCAAAUCUAUUCAAAAGCUUGACGGGGGGAAGGGAAGGUCGGACCAAAAUUAGCAGAAACUGAACACUGGCCAGAGUAUUAUUAUGUACACCGUGAAGAUAUAUGAUGAGAAAAUGCCGGUGGACAUGCACAUGAAAUUAUUGAUUACGGUCGUAUUCGUAGAUCAGUAGCAAUUGUAUCUUUAUCUAACUGCUCUCUCCUCUUUUUUUCCCUCGGUGGGGGCUGCUUGUUCGGUGACCAAAGAUUCUUUACUCCUAUAUUUAAUAUGCCAGAAACAUUUUAAUAAUAAACCCCCAUUUUACACAAUCACUUUUUUAGCUGUACAAUGCGCAGAACUAUGAAUUUCUUGCAAACAUAUGAUUACCGCAUGAUUAGAAAAGAUCCCCUGCUCCAAAAAAGAAAAAGGAAGCAAGAAAAGACUAAGAUUCGCGACCAAUUGUUCUUUGAGUUUUUAGAUCAAUCAAAGACAAAAUUUAUCAAUAAUUGGUAUUCGUUGCACUACGUUAGCAUUUAACAAAAAGUCUUGCUCACCUAAAAGUAAGUAAACUACUAAAAGUCACUCGCCAUAGUCUUUGGUUUCUUGUCGCCAAGAGAAAAAACAAAAGAGUAUUACUUUCGCUCUGGCAUGCAAUUUGGUCUCGAAUGUCUGCGUACAUGUUACCAUCCAUCAGUCCCAACUCCCAAGUCCCAACCCUGGCCUCCUACGAAUUCAUUGAGUUGCAUUCACCAGAGAAGGGCGCUACCUGAGCAAAGUAACUGAGAUUUUACAUUUAUUCUUCCCUUAUAUUUAGACACUUUUUCUGCUUUUUUUUACUUUCUCAAGGUGCAAAUACUUCCAGCUCCGCUUUUAUAAGUAUGAUACAUACACAUUAGACGAAUCCAGAAAAAUCAAAAUGAUUUCGUUUGAAUAGCUUUUUCAAGUUAUUUUUCUACUAUGUUCUUUUGUAAUUUUUCUUAGAAAAAGCGACGUUCGCUUAAAGGUUAUUGGUUGGAGUGACAAGAAACUUGAUAUCCUUAUAUAAGGUCUCGAGUUCGAAAAUAAGCCACUUUUGUUCGAUAGUGCUCCCGACCCUGGAUAAGUCGGAGUCAUCAUUAGGGCUGUAAUCGAGUCAAGUCGAAUUCGAGUAUCGCCUAACUCGACAUAUAGAUAUGGUGCUCGAGCUCGAGCUUGAGUGAGUAGUAUUAUUGGAGCUCGAGCUUGAGUGAGUAGUAUUAUUGGAACUCGAACUCGAGCUCGAAACUUGCUUGCAAUACUCGAGCUCGACUCGCAUGGGCUCGAAUCCAUGCGAGCCUUAUCGAGCUCGGUCGAGCUCGAGUUAUUAAAUUUCAUUUUCUUGAUAAUUUUUAAGUAAAAAGACAUUAUUGCCCUUUUAAAAUUUUUAUAUGACUUGAAAUAUUUCGUAAAUUCGACAAUUCUUUUGGGUAUAACGGUAAUUUUAUAAUAAUAACAUAUUAAAUAAUUAAAAUUAAAAUGCUCGAUAAGGCUCGUCGAGCCUUCGAGCAUCGCUUCUGGAUGCUCGAACUCGACUCGAUAGCCUUAUCGAGCUGCUCGAACUCAGUUUGACCGAGUUUGAGCCAAGCUUUUGACCGAGCUCCUCGCGAGCAGUUCGGUUCGAUUAAAUCUCUAGUCAUCACUUGAGACCUCCUUAUUGUAUGUGCAUGUAUGUGUGUGUCUAUAUAUAUAUAUAUAUAUAUAUAUAUAUAUAUUUAAACACUUUUAUUUGCAGUACACGCACAUACAUUCUCUUUAUCCAUUUUUCAAGUCAAAACUUCCUCCGUUCAAUUUUGCUUUUAACUUCUCUCUCUUCUAAUAACUUUUAUUUCUUUUAAUAAAUUUAAAUUAUUCUUUUUAUCCAUAGAUGGUAACUUUGUUCAACAUGAAUUUGGUUAUUAUGUUGAUAAAUUCAUUACAGGGAUUAUAUCAGAAAACCUCCCUUGGAAAAUGAUGGAGGCAGGUGUAAAUUUUCAUAGUUAUCUCAAAGAAUAUAGUCUCAUGCGUUAUAGUGAGUAAUGUUUAACAAACAUUAUGAUAACUAUAUUAGAAUGCGUAUAAAAGUUUUUAACUAUUAAUAUGGCAAUUAAAUGUUUGAAAUACAAUAUUAAUUUUCUGAUACAAACAUGAAUAAUGUCAAUCAAUUAAUUAUUUGUUGCAUCAAUUUCAUAAAUUUGCCGUAAAAACCAUUCCAUACUGAUUGAUGCACGGGACAAAUACAGCUAGUUGCACGGUAAGAUGAGAUUUGCAAUUAGAGGUGGGUGAUUUAUCUGGCGCGAUAAGAUUCAAAAUGGAUUGAUUUCAAAAGUUAAAUUAUGCAAAGCACCACCACCACACUUUUAUUAUAGAUUCAUUUCUUGAGGACAGAGGACAGAGGAGAGGUGCGUGCGUGCGUGCGUGGUUAAAUCACAGUAAAUGCAGACAGCAGCAGUAGUGAGAUUUGUAAACCGCAAAUUGAUACAUAAAAGAAAAAGAAAAGCAACAAUCUACUCACAAGAUUCUUGUCCCUCCAGCCUCCGGGGCCAGGCUCCAACCCUUUUUCUUUUCUGAUGGCCCUCAUAAAUGUAAAAUUAAAUUCUUUCCCAUGAAAUUGAUUCACCUUUUCCAGUACUGUUUGUUACCUAGCCUACCAAGAAUAAUAUUUAUUAAUACUAAUGCAUGGGUCGGUCAGUUCAGUUGCUUACUCUGUCUGAACUGUAGGACCUUGGUUUGGUACUACUGUCUGGGUUUAAAUUUGAAUCAUCCCUGUGCUUUAAUUUAAGGCAUGUCAGAGACGGAGAAAACUUAGACUACUACUAAAAAUUCAAUGCUUUGUUGCAAGCUUCACAGCUGUAAUGUUAACAUUUAUGGCGUCGGCUUCAUAAUGCCAUUAUUGAAUUAUAGUUUCUUGAGCUCUAUUAUUAUUAUUUUCUUCUUUCUUUAGACUUGGAUAUUUGAACAAAUCAUUCAAGCCCGACUGUUUGGAUUUUAGAAGGGAAAGAAGGAUGUUCAUCAUUUUAGAAUGUUAGAUAUUUUCUCUCGAGAAUUCCAUGUUAAGAGAGUUUCUUUCAUUAAGUUUUCUCUCACUGCCAAAAAAAAAACACAUCGUCCCUUGGUUUGCAUUCUUGAUUCUUCUCCGGGAUUUCCUUUUACGAUGACUGCAGAGGCCCCGUUCCGGGCCCAUACACGUGGCAGCCCAGGAACGGCCGAGCUGGGCCUUGGCCCUCAGACCCCUGGGAGCAGCCCCGGGCCGUACCAACUAGGGCUCCCAGGGGAGGCGAAGGUCCAUCCCGGAGAGGUCGGAGGAAGUCCCCCCCCCGAGUGCGGGAUACUAUCUAUACCGGGCAAGUCCCGCGUCGUGCGGAAGUCGGACUCUCUCGCAGGUAUAAAUGAUAACACACAUCCACUAUACAAGGUACGCUGACUAUUGACAAUUUACUCCGGACAGUUACUACUUCCCGUGAAACUCACUCACCGGAAAACUAACUUGACCGUCGGAGUGCCCUCGGGGACCGCCCUCGGGCCCCCUCAGUUAGCUCAUCCCUUCUGUCUUGCAGGCUUGAAGUCAGCUCUCACAUCAACACCCCGAGCUGAUCAGGUCAGCUCUCCUCGGGGAAGCUCUGCGCUUCUUCAGUUGGCGCCGUCUGUGGGAAACGUAAGGUAAGUAAGAUUGUGUUGAUGGCCCGGACGCGAUCCAAGCGUACGGCAGAGAGCGCCGGCCCUGGGGGCGGUGAGGGGUCCCAGCGGAAAGAGGCCGGGGCGUCCCAGGGCGUCGGUGGCUCGGCCCUUUCAGGGGAACGGAGGCAGCAGAUCUUCCAGUUCGUGACGGAGAAUCUCCCCAUGCUGGAGGAUAUAAUUCGGCAGGCGAAGGAGGGAGAGGGGGCUGGGGGUGCACAGACCUCCAAGGCCAAGGGAAAGGAGAAGGAGUUACCCCCUGAUCCUUCAGAGGAUGACUCGCGCGACCAGCCCCCUAGGAGGAAGCGACCCCGGACUCCUCCCCGCCCCCGAGCCUCGGUGGUUGGGGACAGCGAGAGGUAUUCCCGCGACAGGCCCGCGAGGAGCCAACCCAGAGACCCCUCUCCGAGGAAGCCCACACGGAAUGGGUUCGAGCGUUCCCCUGCUCGGUCUGUCAAAAGCCGGCCCCGCGAUCAUCUGGACCCUGCUCGGGAUGAACUCGAGCAGAUCUUGAGGCCCCGGUCAUACGAAGACAACUAUGCAACCUCGCCCUUUACCCGGGAGAUAGAGGACUACCCCCUACCCCGGAGGUUCAAGAUUCCGAGCAUCGAGAUGUACGAUGCCUCUACAGACCCGGAGGACCACCUCUCGGUAUUCCUGACGCAUAUGCGCCUGCAAACCGCCGCGGAUGAGGUUCGCUGCAAGACCUUCCCUAUGUUCCUAAAGGGGAAGGCGCGGCUCUGGUUCCAGGGACUGAAACCGGGAUCUAUACGGAGCUUUCCCGAGCUGGCCCGGCAGUUUGCAGCCCAGUUCGUCUCCUCGAAGGUUUACGCGAGGAACGCAACCCACCUGAUGUCCAUCAGGCAAAGGCCCGACGAGUCGCUGAGCAAUUUCAUGACCCGCUUCAACGCGGAGAGCUUGCAGGUCAGGGACAAGGACGAAAAAGUGGUGAUGGCCGCCUUCACAAACGGGCUCAGGGUGGAGGAGCUCUUCUACGAUCUGGCCAAGAAGCCUCCCGUAAACCUGGAAGAGCUCCUACGCAGGGCUCACGAGGCUGCCAACGCGGAGGAGGCGGGUCGCCUAAAGAAGGAGUCAGAUCGGGAGAUCGGAGAUCGUAAAGGCCGGACCAACCCCCUGGAGGUGGAGGCCCCGGCCAAGAAAAAUGUCUUUGAUCGGCUCUCGAAGGAGAAGGCCCCUGCUCUGCCACCACUCUCAGAAAAGACCUACACCCCUCUAACACGGCCCAGAGCUCAGAUCUUGGCCGUCAUGGAGGAGGAAGGGCUGGGAGAUCGGCCGCCCAAGAUGGGGACGCCCCGGAACAAAAGGAACCAGGACCGAUAUUGCGCCUUUCACCGUGACGUCGGACACGACACGGAGGGGUGCUGGGCCCUGCGUAAGGAGAUCGAGGACCUGAUCCAACGUGGCUUUCUAGGUCGGUUCGUACGCCGACCAGGACAGGAGUUCGGACGCAACCCUUACGGAGAUAGGCGCGAGGGACAGCGUCGCGACCGUCCAGAACGGCGUGAGGCUCCUCGGAACCACUCUCCCGACCAGGACACCCAGAACCUGGCGGGAGUGAUAAACACCAUCGCGGGAGGCCCCACGGGGGGGGACAGUCAUGCAGCUCGGAAGAAUAAGCGGCCACCUCCCGAAGGGGACGACUCCUUGAAGCGUCUGCGCAUGGACGAGGAGAUUACCUUCGGACCAAGGGAUGCGGUUCCCUUGGCUUCCGGGAACCAUGAAGCUAUUGUGAUAGACAUUGUCACCAAUAACUACCGGGUGAAGAAGGUGUAUGUCGACCAGGGUAGCGCGGUUGACAUCAUGUUCUAUCGCGUGCUCAAGGAGCUCGGAUUAAGGGAUGACCAGCUGACCCCGGUCCGAACGCCCCUGGUGGGCUUCACCGGACCACCCAUCAGCUCGGAGGGAAUGAUCACCCUGAUGGUCACCGUGGGACAGGCCCCCAGGUGCCGGACCAUUCUCGUUGAUUUCGUGGUGGUCAAGCAGUCGUCCCCGUACAAUGUGUUCUUGGGGAGACCCGCUCUGAACGCCCUCCGAGCUGUCUCCUCUACUUUCCACCUCAGCAUCAAGUUCCCCACCCCUGGGGGGAUAGCCGAGGUGCGCGGCGACCCAGAGGUAGCCAGGGCCUGCUACCUGGCCACUCUCCGGGGGCAGGAGAAGGUGGUCGCCCAGACAACCUGUUUAGAGCCCUACAUCCCAGGGGAUGAGGCCCAACUGCUGGGCACCCAGGAUGAGAUUGAGGAGUUUCCCUUGAGGAAGGAACGUCCCGACCAGAUCAUCCGCAUCGGGGCAUUGCUGCCAGCGGACGAGAAGGAAGGUUUGAAGGCCUUAUUGAGGGAGUACUCCCAGGUCUUCGCAUGGACGGUGGAUGACAUGCCCGGGAUCCCUAUGGACCUGGCGGUCCAUCACCUCGACGUGGACCCUCACUUCAAGCCAGUAAAGCAAAAGAAAAGGAGUUUCGCCCCCGAGAGAAAUGAGGUGAUCAGGGCGGAGGUCGGCAAGUUGUUGGAGUCCAAGAUUAUACUGGAGGUCUACUACCCGACCUGGCUGGCCAACCCCGUCCUGGUCAAGAAGGAGGACCUGACCUGGAGGAUGUGUGUAGACUUCACAGACCUUAACAAAGCCUGCCCAAAGGACUGCUUUCCCCUGCCUCGAAUUGACAGGUUAGUAGAUUCCACUGUGGGCUUUGACGUUUUAUGCUUUCUGGAUGCCUUUAAGGGAUAUCACCAGAUAGAGAUGGCCGAGGAGGACCGGGACAAGACCUCCUUCAUCACCGAGGAGGGAACCUACUGCUACAGGACCAUGCCCUUCGGAUUGAAGAACGCGGGAGCAACUUACCAGCGCCUGGUGAACAAGUUAUUCCAAAACCAGGUCGGCAUGAGCAUGGAGGUUUAUGUGGACGACAUGAUCGUUAAAAGUCGAACUAACCAGCGUCUCAUACCCGACCUGCGGGAGGUCCUGGACAUCCUACUGAAGAGCCGGAUGCGCCUAAAUCCGAAGAAAUGCACUUUUGGGGUCAGAUCGGGAAGGUUUCUCGGUUUCCUGGUGUCCCGAGACGGAAUCCGGGCCAACCCGGAUAAACUCCAGGCCAUCAUGGACAUGGCCCCUCCGAGGAGCGUGAAGGAGGUCCAACGGCUAACAGGAAGGAUGGCCGCCCUGAAUAGGUUUCUCUCGCGCUCCGCGGUCCGGGGGCUGCCCUUCUUCCGAGUACUGAAAGCGCCGAAGGACUUCCACUGGACUGAGGAGUGCCAGAAGGCCUUCAUCGACCUAAAAACAUACUUGGCCGAGCUACCAUCUCUGACAGCCCCAGAGCCGGGGGAGACCUUAUUCCUAUACCUAUCCACCUGCAACGAGGCCGUCAGCGCGGUCCUGGUGCGGGAGGAUGAGGGGGCUCAGAGGCCGGUGUAUUACGUAACCUGAGCUCUACAGGGGCCAGAGACACGAUACUCGCCAGCCGAGAAGUUGGUCCUUGCCUUGGUACAUGCGGCACGCAAGCUCCGCCCUUACUUUCAGGCUCACGGCAUUGUAGUCCUGACUGACCAGCCCUUGCGUCAGAUACUCACCAAGCCAGAGGUCUCGGGCAGAAUGACCAAAUGGGCUGUCGAGCUAGCCGAGCACGACAUCGGCUACCAGCCCCGCAAAGCCAUCAAGGCCCAGGCCUUAGCGGAUUUCCUUGCUGAAGGGGCUAGCUUGAGUCUAACCGAGCUAAGCCCCCAACACGAGGAGCGGCUGCCGAAGGAGCCCUGGGUGUUGUUCGUGGACGGGGCCUCCAGCAAGGAAGGAAGCGGGGCGGGUCUGCUACUCAUUUCACCCACCGGGGAAGAACUGACCUACGCCCUCCGAUUGGACUUCCCUGCGUCCAACAACGAGGCCGAGUACGAGGCCCUGCUCACAGGAUUGCGGAUAGCCCACCAGAUGGGAAUAACCGCGAUCCAGGUCAGGAGCGACUCACAGCUCGUCGUCCUUCAAGUCCUUGGGGAGUAUGAAGCCAAGGACGAGGUUAUGAAGAAGUACCUGGCCAAAGUUCGAGAGGCGGUGGCCUUGUUCGAAACGUUCGAAAUCGAGCGGGUGCCAAGGUCCCAGAACAAGCGGGCCGACGCCCUUUCAAAGUUGGCAUCCUCCUCAUUUGCCCACCUGAGCAAGGAGGUAUUGGUGGAGGUGCUAAAGCAGAAAAGUAUCGAUCAGGUCCAGGUCCUGGCUAUAGACAGCUCGGCCACCUGGAUGACGCCCCUCAUUGACUUCCUCAGCUCGGGUGCCCUCCCCGAAAACAAAGCCGAGGCACGCCGAAUCCAGCUCCGGGCUGCCAAGUACGCCUACACCGGGGGUACCCUCUAUAGGAGGUCGUAUUUGUCCCCCUGGUUAAAGUGCGUGACUCCCGAAGAAGGUGAUUACGUCCUGCGCGAAGUCCACGAAGGAAUAUGUGCGGCACACGUGGGAUCUCGGGUGUUGGCCAAAAAGUGCCUCCUUUUGGGCUACUACUGGCCCUCUGUCUUCCGAGACGCAGCGGAUCUGGUCCGGAAAUGCCGAGCUUGCCAGGUACACUCCUCGCUGCGUCAUCAUCCAGCUCAGGAGAUGAUUCCCAUCCAUAGUCCUUGGCCCUUCGCUCAAUGGGGAAUAGACCUCCUGGGUCCCUUCCCCCGAGCCCCGGGAAGAUAUGAGCACCUCGUGGUAGCUAUAGACUACUUCACAAAAUGGGUGGAAGCGGAGCCCUUAGUCUCUAUCUCAGGGAAGGCAAUUCAGAAAUUCUUUUGGAAGAACAUAGUUUGCCGGUUUGGGAUUCCGCAUGCCCUGAUAUCUGACAACGGCCGCCAGUUUGCCGAGAACCCUUUCCGGAGCUGGUGCGCCGAGCUCGGAAUCAACCAACACUUCACGUCGGUUGGUCACCCCCAGGCCAAUGGCCAGGUGGAGAACGCCAACCGAACUGUCCUGCAAGGGUUGAAGACUAGACUGGAGUCCGCCCAAUCGAGUUGGCUGGAUGAGCUCCCAAGUGUCCUCUGGGCUUACCGCACUACGCCCAGGGCGGCUACUCACGAGACCCCGUUCUCCCUAACAUACGGAGCAGAGGCGGUGGUGCCCGCAGAGGUUGGUCUUCCCUCACCCAGAACGCAGAAUUUCGUGGCAACAUCCAACGAGGAAGAGCUUAGGUGCAACUUGGACAUGCUCGAAGUCAGGCGGGAGGAAGCGGCUAUUCGAAUGGCUAAGUAUAAAAGCCAGCUUGCUCGCUAUCACAACGCCAAAGUAAAGACUAUACAAUACCAGCCAGGAGACCUCGUCCUGAGGAAGAACUCGACAAGCAGAGUACGCGGCUCCAACAAGCUCGACCCAAACUGGGAGGGCCCCUACAAGGUCCUUGAAGCGAGCCGAGCUGGUUAUUGCAAGCUCGCUAAGAUGGAUGGAUCUGAAGUACCUCGGACUUGGCACUUCUCCAAUUUGCGGUUGUUUGUAGCGUAGGUUAAACCAGGGGGUUCAGUGGCUUGUUCUCGGAAAUCCGAAUUUUUGUUUUUCCAUUCAAUCACAGCUCGUUUUCAUUUUCACUUGUACUUGUUUUAUUUUACACUUUUCCAACCUGCACCUUACACUAGCACAUUCAGCAAUCCCUCGCUCAACGUCCUAGUGGGGGGCUAGGGGUAGUGGGUGAAGUGUUCGGCCCAGGAGGUCGGCACGAACGCACUUAAUGAAGUGUGAAGUGUUCGGCCCACGAACGCACUUAAUGAAGUGUGAAGUGUUCGGCCCAGGAGAUCGGCACGAACGCACUUAAUGAAGUGUGAAGUGUUCGACCCAGGAGGUCGGCAAGAACGCACUUAAUGCUUAAAGUACUCGGUCGGAAGUGCGAAUUGUUCGACCUAGGAGGUCGGCAAGGACGCGCUUAAUAUUUAAAGCACUCAGCCCCAAGGGGUGAGGUGUGAGGUGUUCGACCCCGGAGGUCGGCACAUAGCAUUGCGAGUGGGCAAGGAAAGAAGAAAAUAACUCUUCGAAAUCUUAUGUAUACAUUGCAAGCCUAUCUAUUACAGAGCUUCCGAGCUGCCUAUCUAUUACAAAGCGCCCUGCCUAUCUACCGUAAAACUUCCGAGCUGGAAAUCUCCUUCGAUGUCUGUUCUACCUGCUGGUGGCCCGACCGGGGUGGAAGCUGAAAGUACACCUUAAGCAUGUUGAGAGGCAUAUGGUGAAGGCUAUUCAGGAGCCCGGAAGCAGGAAACCCAUUCCGUCCUGGAUGGACCUCCAAGAGCAUUUUCAACUGGAGCAUGGUCACAUCCUUACAAAAAGACAGAAAGGGUUUCUGGAGUGGCCACCGCCCUAGGCCACCGGCUCUUUCCCGGCAGCUCUGCCUGGAGACCCGUCCUCCUCCAGGGGAACCUCCUCUAGGUCUGCUCCUACGUCGGUUCGGCGGACCAGGCUCUUCAGGGCAUGCCCCUUCCGGUACCCAUCAAAGAGCCAGUCCAGCCUAUCCUCGGCUGCAGGAUCGUAGUCCUUGAAGUCCGCCACGUUGAAGCCGGGUAGGUUGAGGCCCUGCACCUGGGUCAGGGCCCGCGUAGAGCCAACCUGGAGGAUGGGCUGGUUGAGGAGGGCGAUGUCCACCUCGAACUGAUCGGAGGAGAUAAACUCCUGAACAGCCUUCUUCCGCUCUCGGCUGACAGUGCCGGAGAGCUCUACGGCAUGUUCCUCCUUCAGCCUGGCCACACCAGCCCUCUCCUGGUCGAGCUCCGACCUGGUGGAGGCGAGCUGGACCUGGGCGGCAUCCAUCUCCUUCUCGGCCUUGUCUAAUUUGGCCUUAAGGGAGCUGGCCUCCUGGAGGGCCUGGGAAAGCUUCCUCUCCACCUCCAGGUUCUUCUUCCUCAAUUUCUUCAGGUCGGGAGACAGCUCGGAAAAGCGGGUAGCCAGGGCGGCACCGGCAGCGUUGGACUGGAAAAGAGAGAGAGCAGAUCAGCAUGCCACAUCACUUAACCCAGACACGGGGGUGAAAUUAAUCCAGGGGCGAUACUUACUUGGGCCUGGGCGGUGUAGUACGCGUCCAAGAGCUCAGAGGGGCUGGCCAGCUCCAUCCACUUCCUGUCCCUAGGAAGGACCGAGCCCACCAUCAGCUCGCGAGCCACCUCGGGGAACUGGGCUCGGUCGUUGAUGGAGAGUUUCCAGGACGGACAGAAGUGGCGGGGGUCAUGCAUCGUGGGGGAUUGGCCUGGCUUCAGGGGAGCUAUGUGGCGGAAGUGCCACAAGCUCGGGGGAGCCGACUCCUGGACCUGCUCCUCGGCAGAGCCCACGCCCAGGUGGACUGGUCCCCCGGAGACCCGCGCAAGAGGAGGAGGCUGUGCGGAGACCAGGGCGAGCCUCUUCUGCCCAGCCUGAGAGGGCUCGUCCCCUCUGCCCCUCUUUUGACCGGCCGCCUUCUUUUUGCUGGCGGCCUGCUUGGAGGGGGAUGGUUGUGAUGUCUCCUUCUGGGGGGCUGAGCCGCCCCCCGGGGUGGAAGCCCCACCUGGGGCCCCCCGAGCAGCUCCGGGCUGGGGGUCGGGAGUGGCCUCCUCGAGAGAUGCGCCCAACAGCUGGGAGAGCUUCCUCACUGAAAUGAACACCAGGUCAGCCAAACGAAAGACGGUAAAAGGCAAAAAAGGGAAAAUCUAUACGCUAUGAAUAAAGACAGGGACAGAGCCAGCGUUACAGGUGUCGAGUUUGGGCUGGGAGGUCGCCACUUCCCCAGAGGAUCCGGACAACGUCCCCAUCAGCCCUGCUGCGGAGAUCUGCUCGGUAGAGAUCCUAGUAACAUCGAGCUUCACCUUGGAGCCCAACAGCGGGCUGAGGGUCUCGUAGUCCAGGUCCUUUGGGUAGGGGUCGGCCUUGACCCCCCCAACCUUCCACACAUUGGGGGGAAAAUGUGUGGAUCUGACAAAGAAGAAAUCCUCCUUCCAAUCCUUAACGGAGGAGGGGAGGCCGAAGAACAACUCCUGGGCCCCUUUCCCUCCCUUGGUCUGGGGGCCCCGACGGGAGAAGUAGUACCACCCCGGGAGGGAGGACUUAAGAAUGAAGGCGGCUCGGAAAAGGGAGAGAGAGUAGGGGAUGUCGCAGAGGAGGCAGUAAAUCAGGAAUCCGGUGAUGAUCCUGAUGGAGGUAGGGUGAAGUUGGGUGAUUCUGAGCCCCCAGUAGGUCAGAAUAUUGGUCAGAGCUGGAUGGAUGGGGAGACGGAGCCCUGCGAUGAGCUGCUCCCUGUAGAUGGCCACGAAGCCUGGGGGAGGUCGGCAGGCUCGGUCGUCGGGCCCGGCCGCCCUCGGCUCGAAGGCCGGAGGGAUGGAGUACGACUCGGCCAGCUCGGCCACGUCCUGGGGCAAUAGGGUGGCCUCCUGUAGGUCUGGGUAACCAUAGGAGAAUUCGGGAUCCUCCCCCUGCUCCGAGGUAGGGGUCCCCUCAGAGGGAUCCCUGUCCUCCCCAGCUCCGCCCUGGGCCCCGCCAGGGGAAUCAUGGGGGGACUGGGGAGAGGAGGUGGUUGCGGCCUCUCGCUCGAGGUAGGCGUCGAGCUCAGCCGUUUCCUCUAGAGCGCGGGCAGAAAAAGGAUGGGAUGAAGGAGACUGGGGUGGAGGAGAGCUCAUGGUGUCAGUAGGCUCGGGCAGGUCUGAGGUGUGGAAGCUGGGACUAGAAGCAGAAGAAGGGGAAAGAGGGGGAGGAGAAGAUGGUGACGAAGAUAAGGGUGAAGGCGAGGAAAGAACGAUGAUUCGGGGAGCUCUGCGGCGGACUGAUACUACAGCAACAGAGGAGGAGGAAUGAUCCGACAUAAAAAGUGGGAGGUAGCAGAGGGCAAAAGAGACACUGCAGAGGGGGAAGAUGAAUCGCAAAAAGGACUUACUGAGAACGACAGAAGAAGGACUGAAGGCUCGCCGGAAUCUGGGCACAGGACGCCGGAGGUUGCUGGAAAAUGGAAAUGUGAGUGCACAGGGAGCGUGAUAACUUGAAAUGCACAAGAAGAAACGGAAAUGGCAAAUGGGACAGAUGAGAAUUUGGCAUCCCCUAUUUAUAGGGGGAAGAGUGGAGGGAAAACGGUUGCGUGAAUUUGAACCGACCCCCAUGUGAACGCAUUUAAUGCUGGUACGAAAACCGAAGAGGCGGGACAGCUGAAAGGACGCGGUCGCAGCGUCCCUGUGACAGCACUGUACCAGAAGUGACCUCGGCAGAGUAGUGCGCGGCUCUGGCCUCCCACGUGGCGGAGGUAGAUUAGGUCUGCCUGACAGUCCUACCUAAUCUAGGGGGCUAGUGCAGAGGCCCCGUUCCGGGCCCAGACACGUGGCAGCCCAGGAACGGCCGAGCUGGACCUUGGCUCUCAGACCCCUGGGAGCAGCCCCGGGCCGUACCAACUAGGGCUCCCAGGGGAGGCGAAGGUCCAUCCCGGAGAGGUCGGAGGAAGUCCCCCCCCCGAGUACGGGAUACUGUCUAUACCGGGCAAGUCCCGCGUCGUGCGGAAGUCGGACUCCCUUGCAGGUAUAAAUGAUAACACACAUCCACUAUACAAGGUACGCUGACUAUUGACAAUUUACUCCGGACAGUUACUACUUCCCGUGAAACUCACUCACCGGAAAACUAACUUGACCGUCGGAGUGCCCUCGGGGACCGCUCUCGGGCCCCCUCAGUUAGCUCAUCCCUUCUGUCUUGCAGGCUUGAAGUCAGCUCUCACAUCAACACCCCGAGCUGAUCAGGUCAGCUCUCCUCGGGGAAGCUCUGCGCUUCUUCAAUGACCAUCCUCCUUUCCCUUUUAUUUAUGGAGAAUUCUGAUGGACCUCACUGGGCUUUGGAUAUGUCCUGGAUCGGAGUUGUUUUGCAAUCCUAGAGGCUGCCGCCAUCUUUUACUAACUACUCCAUAUCUUACUUCGAGGACCACGAAAACGUCCUUUUUGAAAAAAAAAAAGUCAAAUGGACAUGGACAGUGUAAAUGGGCCUCAAUUCUAGGGCCAACUUUAACAUUUUUUAGGUGCGCGAUCAGGCCUUUUCUUUCUGUUUUCUUUGCUUUUCUCCACUUUCGCCAUCUUCCCAAGAUUUCUUCUCCUCAAUUUUAAAUAUUUUUUAACAAACCCGUCGUCCAGGGGAGAAAUCUCAGCUCUAUUAUUUUACUUAUUUCAUUAAUAAAAUAAUAAGAAGGAGGACAAAGAUCCUAGCCUUCCAUACAAGAAGAAUCCUCAAUUUCAAUUGUCAUAGCAUAUAGAUGAGUUAAUGUAUCGUACCCAUGCAUGCAUGCAUGAGUUGAUCGGGGUUGUUAAAUUGGGCUGUGACAUCUUAGGGGGUUAUGUUCCAUGUACAUUAUUCAUAAGCAGGUAAUGGUUGCCGUUGUUUUAUCCUUUACUGCAUUUUUUUGUUCAAAUCUGAGACUAGGAGAAAUGGACACAUUUUCACCAUAUUUCUCUUGUAUACUUGUUCAAUACAGGUGAGCAGCAAUUAGACAGCUGAGUGGCGGCUAACAGAUUUAGUGGUAACAGCGGACUCUGAUAAUGACAGUUUAAUCAUGCAUGUGGUGGCUCUACUAAUUAGAUAGGUAACAAACGAAGGAUAUCCUACAUCAUGCAAAACUCCUUUCAUGCAAGAGAAGAGCAGUUGAUAGCUCCUUUCACAAAUGAAGAGUUAUUCUUGAAGUUACUUUUUUUUUUUUUCAUGAAAAGACCAUUGCGAUUACUGAAGUAGACCUUUAUUUACGACCAUGUAUCUAUUCAAGACUAGGUUACGUGGAGGCUGAAUGAGAAAAAUUUCCCCAACUUCUAACAGAUUGCUGAAAGGAAAUCGUUGUAGAAGAGGAGAGAAGUGUUUUAGAAAACAGAAGAGCUUGCUCCAGAUCACUACUGCUAAUUAAGAUGAAAUGUAGUCAGGUAGGUGGUCAAGUAGCCAAAGAAAAAUCUUCUCCAAGAUGAUAAAAUGCGGCCAGGUAGACCUGAAAGAAUCCGCCCCUUGUUUAUGGGCCUCAGCACAUGGUUGAAUAAAACAUCAUGUAUCGCAUACCUACUCCUACAUCAGAACCGGAAAAUGAUGAGAUUAGACAAAACCUUGAACGUUUUAAAUCCUAGUCCUGCUUUCUUCUUGUUGUUUUUCUCCUUUUCCAAAAGGGACCACCUGAAGUUUAGUAGUGAAUCAGAGGGUAUAUUAUACUUAAUUCUGAGUCCUCUGGACGGAUGGCUGAUGAUUUAGCAGCAGAAGGGGAUAAACUAGAGAACAUGGAGGGAGAGGGAGUUGUCCUUAUAAGGAAAAAAGUUAGUUGUCAUGAUGUAUGCUUUCCCGGGCUUUUUGCCAACCGAUCAAGAAAACAACAGUCAAUCCAAUAACAACUGUGAAUCUCUCUCUAAUAUUCUCUCUCUUUUCUUUUCUUUUUCUUUUUUUUUCAUUUUUCUUUUCUCUUCAUUGUAUUGUGGUCUGUACCCACCCGGUCCCCUUUUUGCUCCUCAUCAAACAUGCACCCCACGUCCCUCGCUCAACAAAGUAAACUCCACGCAAAAACUAGAACUGCCUUCCUCUUCUUCUUCUUCUUCUUCUCUUUUGACAUCCAAUCAAAACCAGAAAAACCCUUUUCCUGUUUCGUUUUACUUGGGAGGUUCCCUCAUAGUCAUAGGCAGGAGGGUUUUUCUUUGGUGUCAUUAGAAUGAAAUUUUUUUCUCUUUUUGGCUGCAUUAUGGAAUUGAAAUGCAGGAAGCCGGUGAGGUAAAAAGGUCAAAAACAACGUGGUAUGGUUAGCGAAGAAGUCCGUGGCAUCAAGAAGUCGAUUUCCUUUAAAUUAGCAAAGAUGUUUGAGAUCCCAGGAAGGCAAGCUCAUAGUUUAAUCCUUGAUAGCGGACAUGGCAGUGAGAGCCCCAUUGCGGAUGCAGAUAAGUUGGUGUUUAGGAGUCAAGGUGGCAAAGCUGCUUCAGAUGCUCAACACGUAGGUAGUGUUUAUAAUCGGUCUACGGAUGCUGGCCCUGUUUCCAGAUUAUGCAGAGAGGGCGGAAAGUUAGGAGCUCCCAAUUCAAAGGAAUCUAGACAGCCUUCAGGUGUGUAAACAAUUUGCUAUCUUUCAUGCAUGAAAUCUAUGCAUGUCUUCAGAGCAAGAUGAGUUGAACGUGUUUGCAUAUUGAUAUGCAUUUGAAUGUCUCGAUCAAGAAUCACGAUGUGGUGCUGAUCAAUGGACAGAAAAGUCUCACGAGUCCUGUGCAUUUUUUUUUUCCCUUUGGGUCAGAUUUGGAAUUGAUGAAGGAAAGAUUCUCAAAGCUUCUUUUGGGAGAGGACAUGUCGGGGGGUGGAAAGGGUGUCUCAUCAGCUCUGGCUUUGUCAAAUGCCAUUACAAAUCUUGCUGGUAAUGAUGCAAUUCUACACAUAUCCGGUAGACUGAUUUAUAAUUUGAUAAUCCAGCGAUCAAAUAGAAUGCAAUAUGAUCUAGCAUCACAAAUUUCAAUUCUUUUCUAUAUAAUCUUGUCCUGCAGUUGAAAAAGUUUUAACAUCUGGAAACCAUUGACUUUUUUUUUUUUUUGGGGGUGGGGGCAAAACAUGCAGCUUCUGUUUUUGGGGAACAGAGGAAAUUAGAACCCAUGGCUUCAGAGCGGAAAUUGAGGUGGAAAAAAGAAAUCGAUUGGCUUCUAUCUGUGACGGAUAACAUUCUUGAAUUCGUCCCCUCUCAACAAGUAGCAAAGGAUGGAAAGAACAUGGAGGUGAUUUACUUUCUUGUUCUCCCUGAGGCUUUCUAGUUCAACUUAUGAUUCCAGCGUUUAACAGGGAAAUUAUCUCUCUUCACUUCAGGUAUGUGAAUGGUUUUAAUGGAUUAGAAGCCGAGAAAUCUUUUCAUCUUUUCUAUGCUUUUAACAGAUAAUGGUCACUCAACAAAGAAAAGAUCUGCUCAUGAAUAUCCCAGCAUUGCGCAAGCUUGAUGCGAUGCUCAUUGUAAGAUUCUCUCAUCUCCUCCCCCUAUUGCGCAACAGUUCAUAUUCAUUUGCAUGCUGAAAGAAUGUAGCAAUAAACAGGACUGCUUGGAUAAUUUCAAAGACGACAAUGAAUUUUGGUACGUCUCAAGCGACGCCGAUGAUUCUGAGAAAGGUGUCCAGAGGGAUGAUAAAUGGUGGCUGCCAACAGUCAAGGUUCCUCCUAGUGGCUUAUCAGAUGCAUCGCGCAAAUGGCUGCAAUAUCAAAAGGAUUGUGUCAACCAAGUGCUCAAAGCAUCCAUGGCCAUUAAUGCUCAGGUCCUAUCAGAGAUGGAGAUCCCAGACAACUACAUUGAAUCUCUCCCCAAGGUACAAAUGAAGAAAUCAGAAGUCACGGCCUUCACAAAAUCUCUAAGUUUCCUUCAAAAGAAAAAAAAAAGAAUCUCUAAUUAUGAUGUAAUAAUAAUAUUUGUUCACCACUCUGGUCUUUGGUAGAAUGGUAGAGCAAGCCUUGGGGACUCAACCUAUAAGAGCAUCACUUUCGAGUUUUUCGAUCCCGAACAGUUCCUUUCAACCAUGGACUUGUCAUCAGAGCAUAAAGUUCUUGACCUAAAGAACAGAAUAGAGGCAUCCAUCAUCAUUUGGAAAAGGAAGAUGCAUCAUAAAGACGGGAAGUCUUCCUGGGGUUCAGCAGUGAGCUUGGAGAAGAGGGAGCUCUUUGAAGAAAGAGCAGAAACAAUCUUACUGCUACUAAAACAGAGAUUCCCUGGACUCCCUCAAUCCUCUCUUGACAUCUGCAAAAUCCAAUAUAACAGAGUAUGAGUUCAGACCAAAUUAUUAUCUUUUUAACACAAACUUUUGUUAAGUGUUCAAAAAUUGUUAGUAUUCUUUUCUAACCUGAUAUAACAUUACAGGAUGUGGGGUAUGCAAUUCUGGAGAGCUAUUCAAGGGUGCUUGAAAGCUUGGCCAACACUGUCAUGUCUCGCAUUGAAGAUGUGCUGUAUGCCGAUAGUAUUGCUCAAGAUCCAUCACUAGCAAUAGCUAAAUGGAAGCCAUCGCCAGAUUCCUCGCCAUCACCACAACAAAGUGGUGUCUCAAGUCCCGGAGAAGAGACGGAGAAGUUGAGUUCUGCUGCAGAGACACCCACUUCAAUGACGCUGUCCGAUUUCAUGGGCUGGAACUUGGAGCAGGCAGAGUCAGUCAAGAACCUCCCCAGUGGUAAUUUAGAGGGCUACUCUAAGGACGAAAUUGACAAGCCUACGAGCAAACCAGCUAACAUUAACACAAGCAAAAAGUUCUCCUACAUUGAUAAAGUUGAGUUGAGCUGCUUGAGAAGUCCAACUGCUCGCCAUUAACAGCAGCGCUAGAAUUGCCAUCCUUAAAAGAAGGAGGGGAAACAAUAGAAAGAUAGCUCGCAGGGCAGGGGAUCAGUUGGACAAGAUGCCGCAAUAAUAAUCUAGAAUAUGAAGCUAAUCUAUGACGUGUAAAUACUCAAGACCCUUCAAGGAGUUGAUCGAGUUAGCAUACCUUUGAUUGCUCUUCCUUCCUCCCAUGGACAGGGAAGUACAAGUUAUCCAUUAUAUUAAGUUUGGUCCAGUUGAAUAUUUUGCUUUUUGCCUUUUUGCCCCCAAAAAUUUUAACAAGGACAGCAACCACGAUUUGUUUAUUGUGCAAUGUCUUCAAAGAGCAUAAGCUUUGUUAGCACUACCAAUACGUUUUCCUCUUCCUCCGAAGAUCCAUGCUAAUAAAACAUUUCAUCACCUACAGCUUAAAUAUUUCAAAGAUGCUAAUACGGUAUAACAUGGUUCGCGGCUAGGCAGGCACUUCAAAAAUUUAAACCAUAAACUUAAGCUCAAUGUCAAAUUUGAUGGCUGUACCCUAAAAGGGGCAGUGCUGAUCUUCAAAUGAGCUUCGAGUUGCAAUAAUCUCAAAAAAGAAAGCUACUUAAACUUCCGAGUCAUCAGUGGAAUUUCCAUUUCCACAUUUUAAUUUAGGUUUCUAGAGAUCCUAUUCUGAGCAUCUCAGCCUACAGGUAUCUUCAAAACGAGCAGUAAAAAGAGACUGUGCUUUACCAACCACCACCAGCCUCCUUACCAAGCCAUAAACUAUAACUAAUUAUGAGUUAAGCAUCAAAGGCCACAGAGAACAUCCAAAUUAGGCUACUAUUAGUAAGAGGAAUUCAAUUAGCAAAGACUCGUAGACAUAAAAUUAACAGACAAGAAUGCGAGUCAAAAUCAAUCUUUCUUUGAGAAACCUUGCAGACUGCAAGGAGAAACUAGAAGAGAUCCAGAAUAUGAAAGCUAAGCCUUCAUUUGGAAGCCUCAUUUUAAUUAAGUCUUACAAAAUCUUAAGGAAUCUAUGCCUCAAAGUCAAAUUACUCCACUAAAGAUUCCUCAUAUCCAAUGCAUCUAGACAACGGCGGAAACAGCAGCAUGUAUGGCAUCAGCUAGAAGAGAGACUGUCUGGGAACUAAGACCUGCCAUGCUUAUUCUCCUGCAGCAUAGCAGAUGACAAACAAAAUUAAACUAGGCAACCUUUUAUUCUCGAAUAAGAACCAUAUUGUGUAAACAAGCAAAGCACAUCCUGUAGAUCUUUGAGCAAUUGCGAACCUUUUCUAAUGCACCCUAACUGCAGGUAAAACAAUAUCUGAGAAAAAAUCUUCUUACCCGUCAGAGGUCAUGUAAAUGUGAUAUUCUUUAGUCAUGAAAGCAACUUGCUGGGCAUUCAACCCCGUGAAAGUGAACAUCCCUAUUUGCUUGAUGAUAUGACUCCAGUCACCAGGUGUGCCUACAAAAAUAUAUGCAUUCUGUAUGAGAACCUACAAAAAUAAUCAGAAUCUAUACGAGAAGUAUAUGCAUAUUCUGAAUGACAACCUACAAAAAUAAUCAGACUCCAUAUGAGAAGUAUAUGCAUAAUGGAAACAACAGCCCAAAACUUGUAAAAGUAUAUAUCGCAAGGCCUGAGAUAGAUGUGACAAUUUCCAUGGCUCUGUUUGUCCAGAGUGAAAGGCAUCUAGCAAAUUAUCAAGUUCCCUUGAAUUAUUUAUACCUUGGGACUUAUAGAAGCAGGAAACUAUAAGUAAAUAGAGGCAAGAUGACAUAUAAAACCCCAGCAAGGAUCUUCUAGGAAGAAAAUAUCACAAAUAAUGCAAGUAGAAAGAAAGCAUAAAUGAUAAAUCAUUUGUUUAAGUACCUCUAGCUUGCAAAGCAUCAAAAAGCUUCUGGCGCAUGCUGAUAAUCCGGUCAGCCAUAGCUUUCAGCUCCACUGUCCAUUCAUGGUACAUAUGGCUGUAGGCAAGAAACAAGUAAGCUUGCAAUUACAGAAGCAAAAAUAUACGGACUUAAUGACAAUGACACUCCUUUCUAAAUCAGUUGAGAAAAAACAUACCUGUCCUUUAAUAUGGCAGCAACAAUAGAUGCACCAUGAAUGGGUGGAUUUGAAUACAUGGAUCUGAUGACCAAUUUCAGCUGGCUUUCGACUCUGACUGCUACAUCUGCAGAUUUGCAGACCUGUGAAUGGAUUCCUGGUGAGAACAGAGUUGCAGUAUGCUCAUUGAUAUGGUAAAUAUCUCAACUUUCAUGAGAGACAGCAUAGUUUGACGGAAAAUGUAAACCUGUCUAUGUUGGAAUUAGUUUGUUCUUUCAGUCUAUUCAUUGCAAAUUCCAGUUCACCUCACUUCAUGUCAUGAUAUCAAUAACAGCUCCUUCAAAUGUUGUCUUAGAUGUUUCAACGAAACCAUUUUAUAUAAAGACUAGAAAACCAUCACUAAUGAUUUUAGAAAUUUUAGGUGAGGAAAUCAUCAUUUCAGAUACCAAUUAGGAAAUGAUCCGGUUCCGUAUCAGAAAUACUUACGAUGCUAAGUGCACCAACACGCUCUCCAUACAUUCCCAUGUUUUUAGCAUAACUUUGAGCUACAAGACAUUCACCACCAUCAGAAACAAACAUGCGAACUGAUUGAGCAUCUUCAUCAAGACUGCCACUGGCAAAACCCUGCAAUGUCACUAGCAUGUCCAUUAAUUAGAUGGUAUUUUAUUUAAUUGUGCCAGAAUAAAUUGCAUAUUAGCUGCUACCUGGUAAGCACUGUCAAAGAAAGGUAGCAAUCCUUUUGAUCUCAUCAACUGCCUGAUUUGUUCCCAUUGCUCUGGAGUUGGAUCUACACCAGUUGGGUUAUGAGCACAUGCAUGAAGAAGAACUAUUGCUCCUGAUGGGGCAGCAUUUAGGUCAUCCAGCAGUCCUGUAAAAGAAAAAGUGCCGAUAGACAAAAAAAUCCGCAUUUCUCUAGAUAUAUAAAUCACCUAAUACAGAUCAACCACAAAUAAGUUCCAAUUCAGUGAACCAAGUUCUGAAUAGGUUUGACUAGAAUCUCUGAGCUGAUUAUACGUGAAAAAACAGACCCACCGAUAGUUGUAGCUGAAAAGUCAUCCAUAUGCAUGUACUAGAAAUCUUAAGAGAGAUGGAUUACAAGUAUACCUUGGAAGUCCAGACCUCGUGUUUCGGGGCUAUAAUAGCGGUAAGUCUUCACUGACAAGCCUGCUAUGGUGAACACUUUCGGAUGAUUUCCCCAUGUUGGCUGUGGAAUAUAUAUGGUGUGCUGGCAAAAAGUGUGGACACAUAAGUACGAUCUCCAGAUAAAGGAAAUUUUGAAAACCCAAGAUACCCACCUCAUGAUAAUGCCUUGCCAAAAACUCAGCUCCAACCCUCAAUGAACCAGUACCAGACAAGCACUGCACGGUAGUUACCCUGUUCUCUUGAAUGGCAGGACUGUUUCCAAAAUCAUAAGGUUCCCUCAAAAGGGGAAAAGGACGACAAAACAAAAACUGAAUUAAACAAAAUAGAGUAACAUGCAACUAAUAGAGAGGAAAGCCUUAGUAUCUAUUUGAUCUAAAGUCUUCUCAGAUUAAACAUCUAUCUACCGUACAGAAAAUUUUUAAUAACAAAACAUAAUGAACGGACAAGCUUGUACAUCAUUGUUGACAUGUAAUAAAGAUUGCAAAUCAGAGAGAUCAAUAGUCAAGAACUUUAUAACUUCUCUAUGGAUUUAAGAAUCAAAGCAAUUUCAGCAUGUGACACACCCUGACAGAACCUCAAUACAAAGCAUUCUAAUGGGAUACUUAGAUGAUCCCAUAGGACAUUUAUAAAAGUAUCUAAUGUAGUAGACAUGUGAUAAAAUGAUAGGACAGUAUUAGCAGUACAAUAAAUGACCAUGAACAAUCGCUGGUUAGGCAACUAAUAGAUAAUGGAGCCCUGGAAAUUAUGCAGAAAGAAUUUGACACAGGGAUGUUCUAACAUGAUGAGAAAAAAUAAAAUAAAAGGAAAGGAUACUCUGAUAUCUCAAAUUAGGCACCCAGUUGAUAAAGCACAUCCUCUUGGAUUCUAUUAUUUUCGCUAUUCAUAAAUAACUUACUUAACAAGUUCAACGAUUUUACCUGUCAACACCGAAAAUGAGUUUGGCACUUAAUUUGUUAAAUUCAGCAAGCCCAACGAUGGGAAGAUACUCCUUUACACGAGACCUGCAUGUGAACAAAAUUCAUGACCUGUAUUUGUGGGUUUACAUAUUAUAAACUGCACAAUUUUAAGAGCAUGAGUCAAGAAACUUACGUAUCAUUUACAAGCAUUUGCUCUGCACGUCUCACCACAUUCAGAACAAGGGGUUUCCCUUCCUGUUUUCAUUGGCAUAAGAAUAGGUACUAAACCAACAGCAACUCUUCAAGCAUUAAAUUCAUACACACAACAAAUACAUGCACCGAUAGGUUAUACAUGCAUAAAAAAAGAAGACCCCAAAAUACUUGAUAACGCUCUAUCUGUUUUGGAAUGAAGGGUAGCUUAAAGAUAACGAGGCAAAUGAAAGGGAGAGGGGUGCGGGAAUUUUACCUCAGUUCGAUAGGCUCCAACUCCUAAAUUUAACUUCUUUGGGCUCGGAUCCUUGUUGUAAGCAACAGUGACCUGUUCCAGUCCGAAGCACAAAAAAAUACGAAGACCAAAACAGCAGUCAGAAACCAAAAUGAAUGCAGUCCAAAAUGCUAACCAAUACAAACCACUUCACUAAAUUUUACCAAAUUACUAGUGCUAGUAUAUGAGGUGAAACAGGCAUCAUAGUCUCAUUCGUUCAGGUAUAAAAGUUGAUCAAUAACGAAUCAAUCUCAUAGGGAUUUCCCUACUAUACCAGAAUAGUUAACGAGCGCGAAAAUUGAAGAUCACAAGCAAAAAUCAAAUUUAGCCCGGUGGUACUAGAACCAGAGCUCAUUUCUAACCAACCCGUUUUCAUAUUCUAUCUCCCGCGCGGACCUCCCGUCUAUAAAUUUAAAAAUUAACAAUAAUAAAAAUAAUCGUAAAUGCCAAUGAUGAUAACAAUAAUCAGAUCAGAUAUCAAAUGCAGUUAAAUACACGUAACAACAUCAUAGACAACAGAAACACACAGAAACGUGAUGUGUAGUAUCGAAAGAGUACCCCUAAAAUGGGAUCUUCAGGAGCACGAACAACGUUAGCAAAAACGGAAUCACCAUGACCAGAGGCCAUUUGUUAUCAGCGAAUAGUGACUCUUAGUUCAGUGGGAUAUUUCUGACUUUCUUCUGGUCACAGAAGGUUACCGAUGGGAUCACCAACAAAACAGAUGUACACUGCCUUUAUUAAACGGGUUGAAAAUUUUUUUGAAUGGUCUCCGAAGAAACAAUGGGCCGUAAAAAGGUGGGAAGGACGACGAUGAAACUGUGGGUUGUUUGUUCCCUUUAAGUUUAACCAAAAUUUAAAAAACGGUGGAUGGUAAUGGCGCUGUUGGAUUCGUUGUAAGGUUGAUGUCCUGGAGUGGGCUUCAAGAAAGCUUGUUUACGUUUUCUUUACUUCCUCGUGGGAGUAGCAUUUAUUUCCAGAACGCAGUCGUAUCGUCUCCACAAAAAUAUUUUUGAGGAAAAAAAAGGAAAAACUAUUUCACUAGACUUUGAUUUAUUAUGCAGAGAUCUAGUGACUCAUAAUUUGUCACAUCAUUUCAUGGAUUCAAGUAGUAGAAAUGUGGCAAAAUUUGAAUCGUUAGAUCUAUCAAAUCAUGUCUACCCAAUUUUUUACUUUAAUUGUUUAUGGAUACUUUUUUUUUAUACAUUUCAAUGUAUAAUUUUAUUUUUUUUUUAACAUUAGCAGCAUUGUCGCAUAAUAUGAAUUUCAAAUUUCAAAUUUAAAUCAUGACCAUAUGACAUUCAUUCAAAGCUACUAGUAUUAAAAAAAAAAAAAAUUACUGUCAGUACAUAAAAAAUUAAUCCAUUAUUCAUAAUUUAUACCAUUGCAAUUGUGCACGACAAAUUCAAGGCCAUGUAUACAAAAAUGCAUCAUCAUUGAUUAGCAAGGAAGCCUGGUUUACUUGGGCAAAAUUUCAUAAGUGACCCCAUUCAGCCUUGCAAUGGUUUUAAUUAUUGUUAGGCCGUCCUCGAGUUAUGUACACGAUUCCAAUUAGUCCCCUAGUGGGAACAAUUAAGAUUGAAAGAAAAUGAUACUACCCCAAUCAAAAAGUAAUAAACCGCAACUAGAAGAAAAUGAUGUCUAUUUGGAUAAAAUGUGACAAAAAUAAAAAUUGGUGGAACAGACUCUGUCCGACAGAGUGAGAAAAAUAACAUAUGGUAAAUCGGGCAAUUCAAAUAAUUUGAUCACGAAUAAGUCUCAUUUCCUUGGAUUUUGUUCAAAUUUUAUUUGAAAAAAUAACUUUUUGUGGUGUAAUGUAUGUAAAAUUAUAUUUAAAAAAAAAGUGUAAAAAAAAGGUGACUGAAAAGCUUAUUUAGGAUGCAACAGGAAGAAAAAUUUUUUUUUCCAAAAUCUUUGACCGCCCAAACAAUUAACCAAACUAACUUGAUAUUCAGUAAAAUCAACCAAAAUAGUUGAACUCAAUCGGUCAAUCUAAGUGGGUGCAUAGUGCAUUCGUUUGAUCCGGUGAUGAUUCAGUUCCUUCGAAAUAUCUCUGAAAUUCUUUAGGUCCACUCCCUCCUCCUAGUAUAGAAUAGAUUAGAAUAUAUAUUACGGUUGUCGUUUCUAAAAAAAAAAAAAAAAAAAAAUCAGUCAAUCUGUCCCUCCUAAAGGCCAAAUCGAAACAGCCAUGGCCAAAUCUCUCUCCUCUUUUCCCUCAGUUGGCCCCACAUUUGCCUGGAAGCCAACACUGACAUUGAUUGUAGAGUUUAACUGCACCCUGGCUGCCCCGUUAAAAAGUGGCAAUUCCCAAAAACCCUUUUAGCGACGGGUUAAGACUCGUCAUCAUCAAUCAUGCAAUGACAAGGCAGACAAAGCAGUAUAAUCUUUCGAGCAAGAACCACCUGUCCAUGACUUAAAGAAAUCACUAAUUACUACUACAAUAUUACAAACGGGGAGCUCUAUGUUGCAUGUAGCAGAGAAAACCAUUGGCAAGAAUUAUGCUAGUGUUCUUUUACCCCGCCGAAUGAACAAUGAUCGAAGAUCUUUAUUUUGAGCUAAUUUCCAGCUUAGCAUGCUACGUUUUAGCUUCGGAGACUCCUGCAGCAAGCCCACAAACAGCACUCAUCGUUAAAAGAAGAUUUGUUCUUGAGCAGACAAUUGUACAGUUAAAUCUCAACCACCAAGUAUGGAACGAGAUGAUGCACCUGAAAAUGAAAAUUGGGAUGCUGAUAUUUUACUGGUAACCCGUCGCGUGCUGGCAAUACUGCAAAACCACAUGCCCGUUUCGACGUGAAGAUUCAAGGAUAAGAUUGCGCUUUUUUCCAUUAGCAUUUCAGGUUUAGUCAACUUAGCAUCUUAAAAUUUGCUCAGGACACAUAAAUUUGAUUACCUGGAAUUGAAAAGCUCUUUCUUUUCUCGGAGCUCUCAUCAGAUGUCGAGUUCUCAACUAGAGAGGGCUUGCAGUUGUGCGUGUACAAGAAAAGUGGCACCUCCCCCGUCUGAAAUUCUGCAGUCCUAGCAGCUAUCUGCCUGGAUGGGGCAGAAGAGGUCGAUAUCAUUGUAAGAAAUUACGCAAUGAGGUUACAGAUAAACAAAAGACGUGAGAAUGUUACCUCGAGACAGUAGUGUUAGUCCUCUGAAGACCUGGACUUGCUAGUUAAAAUUAAAAGAACAGAACAGGACUGUCAGGAAAGAAAUCAUUAUCCCAUGGGAAGAGAAAUGGACGAAUUUGAAGCAAGAAAUGAACGGAAGAAAUUUCAUGUCUGAAAUGGUUACGCGGUAAUAUAUAGCGACAGUAAUAUCUGGGAAAGUCGGCAUUCCAACAGUGUGAUCUGAGAGCAAGCAGGUGAGAGUACUUUUCCCAUGUCCCGAUUCUCUGUUCAUCAAAAGAAUGACAUGCUUCUAGUAAAGACGUUUGCCUGAGGUUUCUCUCACCAAUGCCACAGGAGUGGGGAAGGAAACGGAAUAUUGAGGGGUAAAAGAACAGAAAAGGAAAGGUGGAAAACUGCUAAUAUUAGUGCAAAUCAUCAGUACUAACCUCUUUCAAGCUGUCAAUUCGAAGCUCGGCCUCAGAAACAGAGUUGGUAUUUAAAAGCCGACAUUCAAGAUUAGCUGAGACGCUUCCGAGAUGAUCAACCACUGUAACUACAGCCCUACUUAUGUACUCCUUUGUGUUCUCCACCACACUGCAGAAGAUUAUGUAGUAGAACAGUCGUUAACAGACGCAUCCUUUUCUUCCCUUUUAUUCAAUUUCUGAUUUGUGCUAAAAGUUUAGAUUGAAAUGUUUAAGCUUUGCACGAGCUAUGAACCUUGGUUGUUUACAAGCAACGUCAUUGUUUAUCUUAUUGACAGGUCACAUUCAAGAAAGUUGCCAAAUUUUUUUAAAAUAUUUUAAAAAUUGCCCACAUAAUGGUGUUUCAGGAGCUCUCAGAAUUGCCGGUGUAUGCCGUUUAUGUCUGCAAGUUAGAGGACUCACGUUCUCUUCUCCUUAGCAUUCGAGAAACUCGUCUCGCAAUAAUUUGCAGCACGGCGAAGAUGAGAGCACAAGUCCUUGAGUUCCUGCAAACAGGGCAAGAUAGGAGUAUUCAGAUGAACCAUGAAAAACGAGUAGAACGUUACACGCACCCGGAAUUCGAAAGAUUUCCAUACGCACAAGCAGAGACUUUUCGAACUGCGUCCCUUCAUCAGUUUCAGCUUCUUGGUUUUCGGCAGCUAAUGAUUUCGAGUCCUGCUGAUUCAUUCUCUUUGCAACAAACAAAUUGAGGUGCACAAGUAAGAGGAGCGAAAGAAGAAGAUGAUAUUCGGAACUUCUUUGUUUCUACUCGGUUUUGCAGAUUGGAGACUGGUAGGUUUCUGUGAUCUUGUGAUACAUUCUGUCGAGCACUAAACAGAUGAAAACCAAAAUCUAAUUAAGAGAGAUUCUUGUGCAUUCAUGGGCUGUGUCACUUUCAAUAAGGACAAAUAAUAGGCAAGCCCCGUGAUACUUUGUUCGCUCCUUUUCUUUCUGUCUAAAUUCUAAAAGAGCGCAUCCACUGAUGACAACUACACAGAAAAUUCAACUUCCGCCCUCUUCACUUUUCAGGUGACCAUACGAUACGGACCAUGAGAAGAAAGUGAGUGGCAAAGUCACGGUCCAACAUUAAUUUUCUGCAAAUGUUUGGGUAGGAAAGUAACAAUGGAAAAUUCAGAAUAGCCCGUGGUGCUUCAAUUGUAUGAGAUGUGAUGCAAUACCAAGUAACUGCAAGCUUCCAAAAUGAUUAGCUCGUCGUGUUUUUUGCCUUCAGAACUACUAAAAUAUGGCUCCUGAAAGGUAACUAACUAUGUAGCAAGAAGUAGCAGCAGUUUUAUGUCAUAUAAACUUCAACAGUUAAAUCCCGCAGAAAAAAUACAACUCUCACACACUAACUUCCAACUGUCAGGAAGACUUUGCAUGGAGAUAAGUUACAAAGCACAUACUGAAAUCAGCAGCGCUGCAACUAACUUCUUCCCUCCCAGUCAACAUAAUGUCCACCUUAACAUCUACAUAACAAAAGGAUUAUCUGCCUCUCUAUGCAUGUUUUUAACAGGAUUACAAAAAAUUCAUCAUUUAUGCUCUUACAUAGACGUAUGAUCUACCACCAUGAUGCCAAAUUUUCAGUUUUCCACCCGGGCCCUUCAUAGUACCUUUUGAGUUACUGAACUCAAAUUUGAAAAUCAAUUAUGCAGCCACCACAAUUCUCUGCAGCCUCUAGUUGUGGAGUGAUUGAGCGAUAAUCUGCUAACAAAGAUGACGACAGAAUAUUUUUAAGAUUCUGGUAUGUUUUUUGAGGUGCCUGUUUACUGCCAUCAUGACUGCUAUAUCCCGUCGGCUCCAGCUUAAUCUGCCUUCUCUUUUGACUGCCCACGCUUCUUUGGUUUCCCUUGCCAUGAGGAAGGUGCAACUCUGGUUCUCAGAAGCAGAAUGAAUACAUUUCAGUCAAAGCUCGGAGUCUGUGGUAAGAAGGAGUUUAUGCAAGGGGACAAAAGGAGUAAUAGAACAAAAACUAAUGAAAAAAAAAAACCUUCCUUAACAUCUUAAAACAAGCACAUUGUGGUAUGGAAAGAUAUUUCUUCAUAAUCUGCAGGGCAGUUACUCUACCACUGAGCAACAAAAUUUUGUUGACGUGAUAUACAGAUGUGCAGUGUGCAGCCACUGGUUUCCAUAAACAUUGGUAACAUGCAUUAUGCCAGGGUAAGCCUAGCACCAAACAAUUAUGAGAGGAUUCAACGAAGUAUAAGCAUUCCUGAAACUGCAACCAGAGUGAAAGUCCAGCUCAUCUACAGAAACUCUACCAGUACAAGUGCUCAAUUUCUUUGAGGCCUUAUGCCUAUAUUCAGUGUUGUAAGUCUCUCUAACAUCCAAGCAUGGUGCAUCUGUGUUGUUAUCCUGUAGAACUUUUACAAGUAAUUUGACAUGACUGCGAUUAAUCUCGCAUUUGGACAAGAAUUUGCAUUGCCAGUUUCCAAGGUGCCAUACUCAGUGAAGCUCUUUGGCAUCUAUAAAGUCGUUAUACUCUUAAAUACUAGAGAUGUUGGAAAAGUUACCAAUGUUCUAAAGAUCUCCAUCUUAACUUUAGCUUUAAGUAAUUUCCUCUUUGGUUCAUAUGAAAGUGUUCUGUUAUUUCACUUGCCAAACAGACUAUUUAUGUAACAGCUCAUGAAAAGGUAAGUCAUCAUAAUUCAAAGUACAAGAAUGAAAAAGAAGGCAUCACGUUCUCGUUUGCAAUUUGUGAUGGUUGUUCUAUCAGACUAGCUAUUACCUUUAUCAACAUUAGAAGAAUCUAGGCCUCUUUUCAGCGGGUGAGAUCUUGUAACACAUAACCAUGUUCCCUCACCAUGAGUUUCAAUUUCUGAAACAACUGGAAUAUGCCAGUGGCCUUUCUCUGACUCCUGUUGACACGGCAACAAAUUGGUAUCCAUUGUACUGCAGUCAUACUAUUAAUGUACAAUUUGUCUUUACUAAUGUUUUGCUUCAACAACAUUCUUCUCCAUAAGAGGAUUUUGCACCAAAAAGAUGAUUCGCAUAGCUUUUGGCAUCUUUGCAAAAGGAAAAAAUCGAGGAAUCAAGGAAACCUAACCUGAAUUACAACAGAACAUGGCGGCGGCAUGUGAAAUACUGGACCAGUUUCGGAAAAGCUGAAGUGUACCUUCAAUUAACAAUACAAUUCCUUAGUAGGAAAAGAACAAAUUGCAUAAUAAUACUAGACAUUGUAAAGAAACCUACAAGAAGAAAUCAAUGAUGCUCUGGCCCUUGAAAAGAAAAAAAAUGAGCUUAUCUUGUUUUAGACAUAUUAAGUUCAUGAUGGCAACAGCAUUAACAAGAAGAAAUGCUAAAGCAAUGGUCAACUCACAGAGUGAAUCGGCAAACUAACCUGGGAAAUGCAGUUCAGUUUUGUAAUAUUCUUUUAGGUCUUAAUCCAAUGAAUAAGGAAUGCUAAUUAAUUGAUCCAUCAGUCAACUUGUCUAGAGUGUAAAUUCAAUGUUUUUUCUUGCAAACUCCUCAAAGAUCAACAAUGACCACAGUCUAAGAAAUAAAAGCACAUUGCUUGGCAUAUACAACUAUCAUGGAGGCUCUCAUUCUUCUGAAAAUCAAGAAAAAGGAUAGCACAGCGAGCAGCAGAGUUAUGUCAUAUGAUUUUAGCUAGCUAUUUUUUCUUUCUCUUUGGUAAGUAACUGUCAAUGAUAUACUCAUGCUGUUGCAAUGGUCCUAUUUGUAGUCAUAUUAUACUUCUGAAUGCAUCUAACACUUUAUGAGAUGAUUGGCACUGCCCUGCUCCAAAUAAACAAUGGUAGAUAUUUUCAUUUAGCUAAAACUACUUACCUGAUGUCUUUCUUUCCAUUUAGGGAAAAAAUCAUUUCCCAGAAGUUGAAAUAAGUGAUCUCUCAUCUCGUCAUUCGUAACAAUUAAGCAUUUAAACUUGAUGGCUGCAUAUAACCAGUACCUAAAUUUAACUCAGAUGCAUUAAAGUUUAUCACUCUAAGUAAACAAGAAUAGAUGAAAUUUGAAGUAUUAUAGAAUUUGUAGUUCUAACCAAUCAUCAUUUGAUCCAGUAGGAGUUGCAUAGAGUGCAUCUGCAUUUUUCCACUUCUCAAUCAGUGCUCGAUUGGCAGGUUCAUUCAUCUUAUCUCCAGUUAGACGCCUGUUAUGCAAGACAAUGAGUGGCCAUUUCUUAGAUGGAAGCAUUUGACGAAGUCCAUUAACAACUGCAUUAACCUAAACAGAACAUUGUCAUAAAAAGAGAGAUAAAGAUAGAUUGAUUAUGUGUUAUCUUUGAUCUGCAUAACAAUAGAAAAUCUUGCCUUGGAUGGUUUAAAUUUUCUUUGAGUGUAAAGGCCAAUAUUUGCUCCAUCUACGACUGCUUCAAACGGUCCGUAAUAAUCGAGCCAUUUCUGCAAUUUGUUGCAUAUUCUUCAUCGUACCAUUAUAUAUCUAGAUUAAACAAUCACGAUUAAGAAAUAUAACGUACUUGAAAUUUUUCAAAAUUUGAAUUUUUAUCUCUUUGUAUGGCAAGCGAAGUCACUGAUCUGGCAAAAUGUUCAGUUUCUGCAGGAUCAAGGUCAAUGGUGACUAAUUUUUCUCCACAACAUCUGCAUAAGCCAUCAGAUCCCACAGAUGUACGCGAAACAGUCCAGCGCCCUUUACCCAACCAGCCCAGCCCAUGCCAACCGCCACCUCCAUUUUCCAUUGCUUUCUUUAUGAGUCUUUGACCCAAUUUCCUCUUCCCCACUCUUGAAGCUACCUUGCUCCUGAACCACUUCUCGAUCAAAUCUGCAGUAGAAGACGAGACCUGCCUAACGCUUGUUCUUAGCUUAUGCAACAGAUAAUAGACUCUCUCACUCUUUCCAGUUUCUACACUUACUCUCAAAAGUGCUUGUAGUUCUGGCUCCUCUGGACAGACACCAUUCUGCAACAUAUGUUCUUCAACCAUAAACGCUUUCUCAACAUCUCCAUUGUUGCAGAAAACUGACAGUGCAGGACCAUAAGAUCGCAAUCGAGGGUUAAUUCCUAAUUCUUUCAUUUGCUUUACAACAUCAAAGGCCAAGUCUCCAUCUCCUAAUGACAUUGCAAUUCUAGCCACAGAUGUAAAUGUCGCUUCAUUCAUUGGAACCUUAUCAAAAAGCAUGUUAUUAUAUAUUUCAAAUCCCCUUUUAAGUGCGUAUCUCUUGACAUCCAGAGUAACUUGAAUUCCAGAACCUUCUUCUCCCAUCACAUCUUUGUUCGCAUGCUCAGUGUCAGACUUCAUGAACUGAACCAUCUCAUCUAAACUUUGAGGAUAGGGUAACUUUGAGUCAUUUGAAAAACUUACAGGAUUGUUUACCUUAGCCGGAAAACCAUUGAAAUCCAGCCCCUCUUUAUUUUCAGAGUUUAUCUCCUUGGACAACCCCAGAGGAUUCAAGCUUCUAUUACCGCUACCGCUUUUUGCUGGCUGCACAACACCUGUGGCAGCAGAAGAACAAAGAUAGAGAAGUACAGCAUAAUGGUACUGCCCCAAAUUCAUCCCUUCUUUCCUUGCUAAAUCAUAUAGCCUAAUUGCACCAAUAACAUCCCCCCUUUUAGAGCACAUAUCGAGCCCUGCCCUCAGCACAGUUCCAGGUGUAUCAGCCUUACUUUUCUUAGAACCCUUUCCUACCCUUUCAACUUCCAGCUGAUUAACUUGGUCCUCAUUCUCUGGCUUUCUUUCCUUCUUGCUAGUGCCCUGUCCAUUUCCCUGUGCUUUCUUGACAUAUUUUCCUGUAUUUCCAUCCUUAGACCUCGUCGAAGAAAACUGAGGACUAGUAACUGUUCUGCUUUUGGGGUUUAAUCUAGUCUUUGCAUGUCUGUCCUUCAGUAUAACUCUUUUCUCAACAUUAUCCGCUACAGCUGCAUCAAAAUGACUACUUUUUUGAAAACUUUCACCAAUUCUUCUGUCCCUCAGACUAUCAGCGGAAACCCCAGAACCAUUCUGCCCAAUAGCUUUAUGGUUGUUUCUUGAGACAUUGUGGUGGGUGUUCUUGGGCAACCUUGCUUCCAAGGGGGCAACAUGCGCAUUAACUUGAAGAAAUGGUGAAAAUCUUCGGUCGAAUGCGUGCUUCGUUGUUGAAACAUUCAAGAAAGUGAUUAAAGCAGAAGAGUAGUUGCAGUGAGCAAAGGAUAAAAGUUGGAGCCGACUUUGUUGCAGGCGUGGGCAGGUGAAGGAGGCCAUACGUGGCCGCUAAAAUAGGCUAAGCAUCAUCGUCCAUUUUCCUGUCGGGUGGACUUAUUUUAGGUAUUUGGAAUGUAAUCCAUAGACCCGGGUCCGACUGAAAUAGUUGUACAAGGGACCGAAUUUUCAUUUACUGGGGUUGAACACGUACAGUCCCCUCUUUUCCUUUGAGGCGCGCCGCUGUUUAUCAUCUUAACUGAGACACUUCCUUGUUUGGACAGUAUUUUUUUUUCACUAUAUUUUUUAUAAACAUAUUUUUUAAUUAAUUUUUAUAUUAUAUAUAUCAAAUCGUUCCAGUAAUUUUUUUAUAAAAAAUUCAAAAAAAUACAAUCCGAACAAGACCUAUUCCUAAGAAAAUCAAUUUAUUUAGAUCCAUCAGUUUAUGAAAACAGGAUUUUACAAUAUUAUUACUUGGAGCUUGACUGCUAUAUUUGACAAUUUCUUGAGCCAAUGACAAUUGAUGAGAAUUAACCGGAGCAGUAGUAUUGUCGAGGACAAAUGAUGAGGAGUAACAUCAUGACGACAGCAAAACGCGGUCGAUUAUGAAUAAUCAUAUCCGUAUUAUAUACCUGCGAGAGAUUCCAAUUUCCCUUAAUUGCAGGAUUAUUAAUAAUGGUAUCUCUAUUUAAUCGAUGGGAAAGGUGGAAUCCCAAAAAAUAAAGAGAAUAAUAAAGGCAUGUGAUCUAUUUUGGAUAGAGUGUUAUUUGAAAUAAUUACUCUAACAUUUCUUGUAAUGUUUCUUGUAAUGUGAUGUAUGUAAGAUAAAAAAAUAAUUAAAAAUAUAAAAAAAGUGAUUGAAAAAUAUGUUUAUGAUGCAAACGAAAUAUUAUUUGAAAAAAUAGAGUAUCAAACAAACCCGCUCCUUAUUAGCUUAUACUUCAGAGAGUGUAGAUUUCUCUGUCUUCUUGGAUUGUGGGAAUGGGAAACUUGAACUCAGGCAAGCAAGAUUGAACGCAAUUUUGCAUUGAGUGGAAUAAGAACCGUUAUAAAAAAAAAAAUUUAAAAAAAAUAAAAAUUAAGAUCGCUUCAGAAACUGUAAGUAGCCUCAAAUCUUGUUAACCUGAGUUCAAAUUAAAUUUGGCCUAAGUUACAUAUAUAUAAAGGUGAUGAAUUUCACCAUCUUGCCAAUACGUCAGAAUAUAACUUCCGUUUACUGAUGCUGGAACCAGGGAAUCCUUAAACAUCACAUGCAGUCAAACUCCAACAUAUCGAAGUGAAAACAGCACUCAAGCCAUUAACUCUCUCUUU
rnacentral:lncRNA from 1 species